rnacentral:lncRNA from 1 species
AACUGACAGAAAUGAAGCCUAACAAGAUAGGUGAAUCUGGAGUGGACCGGAAACUCCCACGUCAUAUUGUAUUUCUCACUACUUACAGUGGAAUUGGGCCCCAUGGUCCUAGCAGUUCGAUAGAGUUCGUCAGGUGCAGAAUAGCGAGUGUGGUUAUUUUACUGAAGUUGAAUAGUGUCAUUAAUAAAUUGAAAAGCGCUUGGUCGAGCAUCCGUCAAGUAAUCAACAUCGCUUAACCAACUUCGAUACAUGCCACAUUUACUCGGUACAUGAUCUCUAAAGCAGUUUCAUUUUGAAGGGGAAGAUAGACCCCCUGGUCAAAAUUAUACAGCUCUGGGUUAUCUCCUGCAGUGUAAUAAAGAUUGGUGGGCAUGGAUACGAUUUCAAUCCCGUUGAUGAAAGCAUAUGCAUCAGCUACAUGAGGGCUUGGCGUGAACGUUAUGCUCAGAUUUUUCUGCUCAUCUUCAACAUUUAAGAUGAAUUCUCUGGCGCAACCUCGUUCACCAAGAGGGUCAGUGUAAUGGAAGCCACUGAAGUUGCUAAGAAAGGUAUAGCGACGGGUUGUGACAGAAAAAGAUGCUUUAGACCUGUUGAAACCAGUGUAGGAAGCUGGAUUGAAAUGGAGGCGAACAAACUUAGGUCCUGUUGUUUUGACAGGAAAUGUGUAGGUGAAUUUGGAGAGAGAGACACGAGCAGUAUAAUAAGGUACAGAGCUAGGGGAGGCUUCAUUUGCUGUGGGAUUUGUUGAGGGGCCGUCUUGAUCUAGAAGGGCCACUCUUGAGUUGAUGUCUGCAGUCCAGUUUCUAGCGUUUCCAAUACUAUCGGAGGAUGAACCACAAUCAAGCGCUCUGCUAUCGAGGGGGACGUAAGGUGCUUGAUCCCCGGUUACAAGGAUGGUGAGUUGGAGGAACAGGAAGGAGAGGUGCAGAGGAGUGAAGAGAGAUAAGUUUGUGAGAGAGAGAGAUUUGCUGCUGCUGCUGCUGCUGCUCAUUUUGUUUUUGGCCAGAGGAGGAGAGAUGAAGAAAUCAAGAGGAGAAGCUCCUUUUAAUUAUAUGCUGAGAGGAGUUCAAGUCAUGCUAUAGUUUUCUGAUUCUAAUUUUUAUUCUUUUUUUGAUUUCUUAUGUAAAAUCGUUUUCAAGUAUUAGUAAUUAUAAAAGUCUCAUGGAGUAGUAUCAAUGUAUCAUUUGGCAAAGGGACAAUAUAUGGAAGACCUUUGAAAGGUUUUAUUUAUUUAUUUAUUUACAUGGGUGUUCAGGCCAGCUUAUGCGUAUCACGACUAAUUUCAUGGUCCACUAAAUAUUCUACAAACCUAGUGAGCAUGUAAGGUACCGCGAGGAUGACAGACAUGCAUGAGAUUUGAAUCUAGUGCAGGAAAAAAAAAAAAAAAAACUCUUUUCACUAAUAGGCCAAAACGUCAAGUGUACUUUGAAAGUUCUUUGAUAGUACGAGCGGAGCAUGAAAGACUUCCAGGUCGUUGGCUGUAUUCUAUCAACUUUAGAGAUUUCCGUGUCUAGGGGGGCAUGAAGGUCUAUCAUGACUCUCAUCUAAACUGUUAGGGUCUCAUCUAAACUGUUAGGGUCUGGUAUAUAGGGUGAGAUAAUUGAAGUGAUAAUCUUAACGUAUAAAAUUUAUUAACUCCAAACGAGUGAUAGGGUAAAUAUUUUUUAAUGUUUUCUCUCAAAGCAAAUUAAAGAAAACUUGAAUGAUUUUGGGUGAUUGGGUGCCUACAAGGAUACAGGCGAGAGGAGCGACAUGACCAUUUGCUUCCCAUUAUACUUGAUGCCAUGACACUAAUAAUUAAAUAUUUCGCUUCUGGUUUGUAUUUGGACUAACCAAAUUCAGAGGACUCUCCAUGUUAAAAUAAUUUGUAUGCUAAUUAGAUAUAUGUGAUUUGAUUCUUUAAGCCGCGCUAAUCCCUCCUUUUGUAGUCGAGCAAAUUUAACGUUACUUUUGACUUAAAAAGAAAGGAUGUAUAUCAUAUUUAUAUUUGUUCUAGUUUCAAACACAUUUAAAUAUUGAUUAAAAUUUAAAACUAAAAAACUUUUUAAAUUAAAUUUGUAUUUUUCAUUUAUUUACGGUUGAAAUUUCUUUAUUUUAUUUUUUAUGUGGUCAAUUUUUUUUUAUGUUUUAAUUUAAGAGGUCAAAAAAGUUUGAUUAAAAAUCUCUUUUGUAGAUUUUUACUUUUUAUUUUUAACUCUCAUUAAUAACGGGUCAUCAUUUGGAUCUUAAAUGAAUAAAAAGAUAGUUUAAUAAAAUUUCCAGUGAAGGAUAAGAUGAAAGAAGUGCAGACGAAACAUACUUGAUGGUGUUAAAUGUGUAAAUUUUCAUAGACAUGAUUUUCUAAUUUAUUUUUUCAUGAUUGUUUUUAUUUACUCGAGCUUUUUUAUUUUUAAAAUAAAAUUUAUUUUUUCCUAUUGUUUUUCUUUGCAUCUAUAAAAAAAACAAAACGUAUCUAUAAAAAAUAAGAAACAAUAAGACAUAAGAAGAAUUUUAGAAUAAAUAAUAAUAAAAAGAUCCAACAUUAAUUCAAUAUUUUAUUUUAUUUUUAUUGAAACUAGCACUAAUAAAAAUCUUACACGUAUCCUUAUAUGUUUUUGAAAUUUAAAAUUAAUAAAAAAAAAUUGACUUGAUCAUUGAUAGAGAAACUCAUAUUGUCCAAUGAACUGUAAACAAUAUUGAAUUAUGCAAUGUGAAAUCACUACAAUGUAUAUAUAUAUAUAUAUAUAUAUAUAUAUAUAUAUAUAUAUAUAUAUAUAUAUAUAAAAUGAUACUAAUGGAGCCUCUAGUCUAAUCAAACCGGCUAAAUUCCAUGUAAAAUCGUUUUCAAGUAUCAGUAUAUGAAAGUUUCCUAGAGGUUUAAAGUCAUUGGCAUACUCUUUUAAAUGAUGCUUCUCUUUUAAAUGAUGCAAUGAAAUAUUAGAAAGAGGUUCGUUGAAACCAAAUAAUAUUGAUAUCUAUACUCUUUUAAAAGAUGCUUCUCUGUAUGAAAUGAUGUUAUGCUAAAGAGCAAAAAACAAGUUAUUAAGAGGAACUUAUUUAGUUGGUUAUUUGAAUGAGAUAGUUAAGGACAGUUCAAUAAUUGCCUUGGAUUUUGAUGAAGAGUUUGAGGAAGAUCAACAUUAGCUAAUUUCAAUCGCAUAACUUAAGAAUGGAUGAUUGUUCGAGGAUGUUAUAGAAAGAAAUCAUGAAGAGGCUAGCAAACAUGUUAUUAAAGAAACAAAAGCUAUCAAUAUGGUCAAUAAGGGAAAGAACACUCUUUUGAUAUCAAAAGAGUUGAAGAAAUUUUUAACCAAUUAAUAUGUGAAAGGAAAAUCAAGCUCUUUGGUAUUCACAUGAACUCCAUUGCUGAACAGAUCAAGAGGAAAUUAUAUUACAUGUGGCAUAACUAAUAGAGACAUGGCAUCAAUAGUUGUGCUGUCUUUAUAAAUCAGAUCUAAAAAGCACUUGAGCCUGAUCAUAUUUGCUUCCAGAGAAAGAAAAUUAUGAUAGAUAACAAUCAUUUUAGCAAUUACGCUAACGCUAGAAAAACUCAAUGGUAAAAUAGAUUUAUAGAACACAAUGCCUUGUCGACCACGAAAAAAGCUAGAAUUAGUCAUGAAUACUACUACUAGAAAAAGCUAUUUCAAAUAUGACAAGGCUAAGGAGUUGGCAUUAGAAGAUUAGUAAAUACCUUCAUAUGAGGUGGGUGGGUAUGCAUGUAUCAUAUUGUUAUAGAACUCUAGAUAUGGGGAAAAUACCAUUAAGAGGUCAAGUUGUUAGUAACAAGACAAUUUGGUGAUCAGAAUUAAAACUAUUGAUGGACAUAGAAGAUAGCUGUAACAUUUCAUAUAAAAGUUGUAGAGGAAUGAGUUAGCUAACAUUUGGCACUAGCAUUACCUUAAUUGGACUUAUAAAACUCCAGAUAUAGGAAAAAUACCAUUAAGUGGAUAAGCUUUUGUAACAUGACAUAUUUCACCACCUGACUUCUAAAUAGUUUUAAAAUAGAUGAAUAAUAGAAUUUUGGGCAAUCUUAUACAUGAAAGUUGUAUUUAAAGAUGUUAAAUUUCAUUAGGAUUUGGCAUCACCUGAAUUGAAGCUCUAGAAUUCCAUUUGGGGACUAGAAAUUAUAGACUGAACAUGUUGUGAAUUGAUGGAGAGAUUUACAUAUAUAUAUGUGUAAAAGACGAGUGAUUUUAGGCAUGCUAAUGAUUCAUGUUGAAAUUAAUUCUUCUAAAUCAUGAUAUAUAUAUAUAUAUAUAUAUAUAUAUAUAUAUGUGUGUGUGUGUGUGUGUGUGUGUGUGUGUGUGUGUGUGUGUGUGUCAACAUUCAAAAGAAACAUAUAAAAGGGUCUAGACGAAAAUAGAUGUUGAAAUUUCAUUAAUGCAAAACCAAGUCAUAGAUAUUGAAAUCUUGUUGAUACAAAACUAAGUCAAGGACACCGAAAUUUUGUUGAUGUAAAACAAAUUUUGAGUCAUGCGGACACUAACUCUAAAAAUAUACUUGAUAUGUAUAUUGACACAACCAAAAGAUUGAUGUCUUCUCCCAAAUGUAAAAGUGUCGAAAUAAUAAAUAACCCAGCAAAAUUGGGAUCGAACCACAGGGAGGUUAACUAUACAAAUUAUAAAUAACAACAACAACAACAAUAAUAGUAAAACUACUACUAGUAGUAGUAGUAGUAGUAGUAGUAAUAGUAAUAAUAGUAAUAAUAAUAAUAAUAAUAAUAAAGAUGGAGAAGAAGAAGAAGAAGUUAAUGAGAACUUUGAGAUGAAAGAUUAACGGAAGGAUUAAACAAUGAUAACAACAAAUGUCAAGGUUAGAGGAUCUACUAAUGGUAUGUCAAACAAGUAUAAGAUAAACUUUUAUUAUCUAAUUGAAAACCACACACAAAGAAGGUUCCAAUCAGAUUAUAAAUUAUUAACAUGAUUACUGUGAAAACCCGCUAAAUUAUAAUAUGAGUAAAAUAAAUAAAGUAUUGAAUAAAUUAAAUAAAAAGAUUUUAAGUAUUGUAAUUGGAUACAAUAGAAUAAAAUAUAAGAUGUUAUGGUGUGAAUUAAGUAAAAGAAGAGUUGAGUGACAAAAAUAGAAAUAAGAAGAAAUGAGGGCCAAUGUGUAAAUUGGUAAAAGUUAGACUAUAAAUGCUUCAUCUUUUUCUCUUUUAGCCGUGAGUUUGAAACAAAGAGAGGGGGAAGAAUUGUGUGAUUUUCUACUUAAAUGCUCAUUGAUUUCACUAAUUAAAGUGAGUAAUUAGAGUGAUUAACUUAAUUAAACAUCAAAAGGGGGUUGAUUUUAAGGUGGUGAGUGCAUUGAAGGAAGGAUUUCAAGCUAGGGUUUGAAGAGGGAGAAUAAGAAAACUUGUUUUUCUUGCAUUCUUUCCUUAAAUCCUUAUCAAAGUGAGGUAAAUAACAUGUUCUAAAUGAUUAAUUCCUUUAUUUUUAUGUUUGAUGAAGGAUUAUGCAAAAUGAUGAUUAUGUGAAGUUGUGGAUUUAUGUUAUAAUUUAUAGGAAUAAUGCAAAUUAUGUUUGAACCAUGUUAGAAAGCAUGAAUUAUGAUUGGGUAAGUGUUUAAUUUUAAAUAAAUGAAACAAAAAUUAAUUUUCCCCAUUUUAAUUGAAUAUUUGGCCAAGAGAGGAAUAAUUUAGGGGAUUUGAGGUUUAAUACAAUUGUUUGGAAAAUAUGGGAAGAUGAAAGUUUAUAAGUGUUGUUAUAUGAAUGGAGUAGGAAUUUUUUUCAAGGAGAAAAGAAAAAUAUUCACUUCCCUCCCUAAGUUGUUUUUGGCUAAAUGGAGAAGAAAAUUAGAGAAUGGAGUUUAAAUGAUAUUAUUGAGGAAUCUUACUAAAUUUAAGACAAUUGAUGUUGAUAGGUUAAAUUGAAUAGAGACUUUUAUGGAAAUAAUAAUAAUAAUAAUAAUAAGAAAAUGUUUCAAAAGGGGGGGGGUUUAUCCCCCUUGAAUUAAAAGUCAAUUAAACUUAAUGAAGGGUAUUGGAUUUAACAAAGAAUAUGUCAUGGGUAUUAGAAUUUUACCGGUUCAAAUGAAUGAACAAAUGACAAAGUAAUUUUGUUGGUGCAGAGGAGGCCGCAGGACCUGAUCAGCAACAAGGGACCUCUUCACGCGCACAUACACCAGGUAGGUGUUCAACACCUUUGAGUGAUUAAUCAGUUUAUAUUUUUUAUUGUACAAGGAAUUUUAUAGAUUAUAAAUAUUAGUGCUGGUUACUAGAAAUAAUGCCCUGGUGAAUGGGCAAGCCUUGAAAAAUUAUUUCCUGGUUUCUGGAAAUAAUGCCCUGGUGAAUGGGCAAGCCUUGUAAAAAACUUAUUUCCUGGUUACUGGAAAUAAUGCCCUGGUGAAUGGGUGGUUACUGGAAAUAAUGCCCUGGUGAAUGGCAGGCCUUGAAAAAUUAUUUCCUGGUUACUGGAAAUAAUACCCUGGUGAAUGGGUAGUUACUAGAAAUAAUGUCCUGGUGAAUGGGCAAGCCUUGAAAAAUCAUUUCCUGGUUACUGGAAAUAAUGCCCUGGUGAAUGGGCGAGCCUUGAAGAUCAUUUCCUUAUUAUUGAAAUUUAUGCCUGGUAGAAUGACCAUGUUAAGAAAAUUAAUUUUUCAAAUUAAUGGGAUAAUCACUCGAUGUAAAAUAAAUCAUAAAACUUUGAAGUUAAAUAUGCUAGGUUGUGGGAGACACUCUUGAUAUUUUUAUUUUAGUAGAUUUAUCCCUGUCUAGAAGAGAAUUUAUGAAAUUAGAAAUUUCAAAAAGAAAAUAAGACAAUUAAUUCUAUGAUAUGAAAAUCACCUUAAUGUAUAUAAAUAAUUAGUUCUUAAUCAGUUACUUAUUGAAAUGUGCAAUUGUUUUAAUCAUGUUUAAUGCAAUUAUGUUUUUAGGUACAUCGCACCCUCGAUCUGGAAAGUAGAUGCUCGGAUAAAUAAUUUUGUUAUGUGAUUAAUGUACUUGGAAGAACUAAUAUUUUGUCGUAAUAUGCUUCCAUAUCUAAAAUUGUAAUGUUUAACUUAUUAUCUUGUGUAUGAUAUAAUUUGUAAGGUUAUUAUUAUUAAGUUGAAUUAUGGUUGGUUGUGUGUGUAUAUAUAUAUAUAUAAAGAGAUGAUGCAUGUUAAGAAUUUAUUAGUUUUAUUGUAGUGUUCUAUAGAAAAUAGAAUUGUGAUAUUGAAAUAUGCUUGAGUUUUUUGAUGUCCAAAUGAUGGGACGAAUAUUGUGAUUGAUGUUACAGGUUGAGAAAUGAUUGAGUCGAUAACUUGGUACCUAAAGAAUACAAAGGAAACUCUGCCGAAAUUUCGAGAAUAUAUAUAUAUAUAUAUAUAAAAAAAUGGUAACUACGAAUAUAUCUAAUAUAUUUUUGAGUUUACAAAUUGAGACUGUUACAAUUACAUUAGUUAUCUUAUUCGAAUAAUGCUAAUAAUUGUAAAUGUUGUUAGGCAUUCAUGAUUAUAACUUAUGUUAACAACAAAUCAAGUUUUUUUCAUAGCUUAGGUGUCGGUUAUACCAUACAGUAUGGGCUAUGAAAGUGCCAAGUAUUUGUUGUACCAAGUGUUAUACAACAUAAAUCUAGAUUAACCAUUUAACAAGCAAAGUAUUAAAAGUGAACAAGAUAAAAAAUAUAAAACAUGUUAGUAUCAAACAUUAAGGUCUAUGUUGAGUUUACACUAUACUUAUUCUUACACCAUUAGUGUAACCUUUUCACUUUGACAUAAUAAACAUAACUAAACAUAAUGAAAGAAAGAAAAAUAAAUAAACAAAAUAAGAACAUAAAUAAGAUAAAAGUUAACUAAGUAAAGGAAAGGAAAGGAAAGGCAUAAACUUGAUAUUAAUGAAAGCAAAACAUAAGCAAUACAAAGAAAGAAAGCAAGAGCAUGAUCUUGAUUUGGAAACCAAGAUGCCUUAAAAUUUGAAACUAUUGAUUUGAUAAAUAAUUGAUGAGUGGGUGGCCACAUCUUAACUUAGUGAUAAUCCUUAUCUUCUUGUCUGAAUAAAACAUCAUUGAUAACGUCAAAAUUGGAACCACUUGUACUCAUGAAAGUUCUAGAAAAUUGUCUCAACUUUCCAGGAAAAAAAAGGUCAUUUGGACUUUUAGAACUCCAGAUAUGGGCCAAACACUGAACAGUGUUCAGGCUGCAAGAUAGAUUCGGACUUCUUCGUUGUUGCUAUAAUUUGGACUUAAAAAUAACCUUUUUAAAUCUUGGGCUCCAUGAAAGUUGUAAGCCUAUGUCUUACCUUUCCAUCCAUAUAAAGUAGACCUAAAUUUGAGAUCUACAACUCCAGAUAUGACCCAAUUACCGAACAAUGUUCCAAUUUGGACUACACUAGCAUCUCUUUUCUAAGUUUGGCCAUCUCUUUGUCCUUCCAAUUUCAGUACUUAAACUCAUCAAUCAAUCCUUUCAUUUAUGUGAUAGGUCUGUAUUUAAUAUGAACAUUUACCACAAAUUAAAGGUACAUUAUAUUAUUAGAUAUGUUAUUAUAAAACAUACUUUAGCUGAGUUAUUGAUACUUCAAUUGCAAAAUAAUGAUAUAAAACUUUGAUAAAAAUACACUUUUAAGUACUAAUCAUAUAUAUAUGUUAUGAUAAGAAAAUGAACAUAUAUAGAAAGUAUCAUAUGUAUAAUGAAUUAAUAUGGACUGCCUAUAACAUUUGGCUUGAAGGAAUCAUGACCAAAUACUUCUUUGUGAUUCAGAAGGAGCGACCAGGGAUUGGAUGUUCUAUUAGAGAAAGUCAUGAGACAUGUGGAGCAGGUAUGUGGUUUCCCUCUUCUUCACACUUAUAGAAUUAUAAUAAUGUUAUGUUCAAUAUAAAUAAAGUCUAGUGUAUUAAUGAGAUUAGUUUCAGCUAAUGGUAUCUGUGAUAAGAUUUUUGGGAAAUGAAUUACAAUAUUAGUUUCGGCUAAUGACAUUCGUGAUAGGAUUGCAAAGAAAUGAAUUAGAAUAUUAGCUUUGGCUAAUGACAUCCAUAUUGGGAUGCUCGGGAAUGAUCGAUAAGGCUCGAUUUGUAAAGGGUAUCCGUGGUUGGAUGACCUAGAAAAUAUUAUAAGUAUAAUUGCCCAAAAAUAUCCAAGUUGGACUAUGCAAGGUUAAAGAUCUAGUAAAACCAAUUAAACAAAGUUACUAGGUUCAUGUAAGAAAAUAAUAAUAUUAAAUUAAGAAUACAUAAAUGAGGUCUAAUUGGGUUUUAAAUGAUUCUCGAGACAUUUAUAAGUUGCUUAUUAGAAUUCCUAGGAAACCAAUAGAAAACUUAUGUUUUAUUUGUAUUCAUUACAUGAUCAUUUAUAAUUUUACUGUCAAUAUAAUUUUAUAUUUAUUAAGUUGUUUUUGUAACAAAUCUAUCUAGUAGCCAGGGAGCUCAUUAGUUUUUAGGACUUUACUUUGCUAAGUUUAUGUAAAAAUUUAACUUAUGCAUAAAAGUAAUAACUAGAUUAUGCAAUAUGUUUUUUGUGUAAACUCAGAUAUAUAUUGUAUGAAUCAGAACUCCUUAGUUAUUUGGUAAUUAAUCCUUUUGAAACCUUUAAGAAUACUUAUGUUAUGUUUUAAAUUCUCUUGUUACAUGUUAGUAUAUAUAUAUGCCUUAUGAACAAGAUCAAUAUAAACAUAGCCCAUAUAUUUUUUUAUUUUCAAAAAUAAAAUUAAUAUAUACAAAAGAUUCAAAAAAAUUAUAGAUAAAUCAGAAGAACCUCCUAAAAAAUUAAAACAAUAAUUAAAAAAUAACUUUCAUUUCAAAGAGGCUCUUUAAACAACAUUAAAAAAGGUAUUGAUCUAAAUAUAAAUAAAAAAAUAUGAAAUGAAUUAAUUUUUUAAAAAUAAAAACUCAAAAAAUAAAAACACAAAAAAAGGCCAAGAAUUGUCGAACCUAGCAAGGUAGGUCAGCCUACUUAGCCCAUUUUGUUAGGGCCCAUGCGCACUGACUUUUUUUUUUUUUUUUGCAAAUUAUUUAUGAAAAAAACAAAUAAGAUUAUGUGUCACUCGUGGGCUAUAUAUUUUUCUCUCUUGCAAAAACGUUGUACAUGCAUGCUUUUUUGAUGCAUUUUUUACAUAAAAAGAUUUAAAGUUUAGAUUAAAAAGCUUAUGCAUUUAUGUAAUCAAACAAAUCGACAAUUAUGUGAAUUAAUAAUCGAAAAAAAGGUAUUGAUGAUAACUAAAAAUAAAAUUAGAAGAUUCAGGUAUGUUAAUAAAUGAAAUAUUUACUUGGUUGUGUAUUUUUGAAUUUGUUUAUUAAAAUUAAUAUUUUUAUUCAAUUAAAUGAUAUUAAAAAUAAACACACAUACUAAAUUAAUCAAAUAAAAUAAAAGUGGAAAAAAAUAUUAUGCAAAGUUAUACAUAUUAUGUUAUCUGAAAAUAAAUAUUUUUAUUUUUAAAAUAAAAUUCUUGUAUACAAAAAGAUAAAAGAAAAAAAUUGUCGAUGAAUUAGAAUGAGUUUUUCAAAAAUUAAAUACGAACAACACUAUAGAAAAAUAAUCUCUAUAAAAAAUCAACAAAAAAAACCCCACAAAUAAGAGAUAUUAAUUAAAACAUAACUUUAAAAAAUAUUUAAAAAGGACACAUAAAAAUUAUCAGUAGAAAAAAGCAAUAUCAAAAAAACAAAAUGUCUGGUUGUUGAAGCUUAACUCGUUAAACUCAUGAUCCGAACAAUAAACUCAAUCAGGUUCAAUAGUUUUUCCCCUUAAAUAUAUAUUCAACUUUUAACAUGAAAAAAUUAAACCCGUAACCCGGAUCAUGAACUCAACUAGACUUAAUAUUUGUUUCCAUUAAAUUUUUUUUUUUAAAAAAUAAACCCUUUACCUGGACCAUGAAUUCAAAUGGAUUCAAUAAAUUGUUUCCCCUUAUGUUUAUAUUCAACCUUUAAAAAAAAUUUAAAAACACACAACAUGAUAAAAAAAAAAUGAUAUAAAAAAUGUAAAAACAAAUCACAAAUAAAUGAUGUUAAUGAAACAUAAAUUUAAAUUAUUUAUAAAAAGAUACCAAUAAAAAAAAGGAAAUAUCAAAAAAAAUAUCCAAUUAUUAUGGCUUAACUUAUUAAAUUCAUGUCUCAGUCUAUAAACACAAUUAAAUUCAAUAUUUUUUCUUUCCAAUUUAUAUUUAACUUUUUUUAAAAAAAACACCACGUGAUCCGGAUCUACAUCUGAAACAGGUAAAGUAUAAUGUUGUUGAUCCACGCUAGCAUGAAAUUGAUCUCUUGUGAUAUCAUUUAAUUUCAUGUAUAGGAAAAUAUGACCUAACCAGUCAAUCAUUGCCACAUUCCUCUUCUUUCUUAGCUGCUUGCUUUUAUAUUUGAUUAGAUAGACACCAUUAAAAAGAGCUAGCUCAAAAUAAAAGAGAUGCUAUUAGAGGUCUAGGCGCGAGGACGCGCCAACAAAAGCACACUGCCUAGAAUUCGGUAGCGAUGGACAGCAGCAGAGACGAAUUCAGCAAACAGUGUGCAAUGGUCUGUGCAAGUCUUUGAGCUGGCGACUUGACAUGGACAUAGGGGCUUAGAUAAUGGACCUUCUAAGUCAGCAGCUGACGCAGCAACAACUGGUAGUUUGACUGCUAGGUGGACAGCCAGAACGUGGGUGAAGUGGCAGCUUCAUGGCCUAGAACAUGGGUAACUUGGCAGCAUCCUGUGGCCAGAACGUGGGCAUAACUGGGGUGCUCUCCAAGCUACUAGGAUCAUGGAGAUCAUGGGGGAGAAAGUGUCCCACUAUGUCUUGAAAAAUAGGAGUCAUGAGUGAGCCUUGCAGCUCACAUAUUUGUCUAUAAAUAGGCUGCAAAAGCCUUGGUUGUGUAGCAUGCAAUUUAUGUGCAAAGCUCACACACUCUUAUUGUGUAAUCCUUUGUUGAUGAGAUAAAUAAAGGUUGAGAGCUAUUCUUGUAAAGUUUGGUGUGCUUGCUUGUGUUUGUUCUUUGUUUACGACGAGGCGAUUGUAAGAACCUCUUUGAAUGAGCGAAACACAUAAUCGUAGAAAACACGAGUGAAAGGGGAGGCUAGGCUGAGUCUAGUUGGGACUAGACUGCCGCAUUGGGUUGAAUUUGAUUGCGAAAAAUUUAACCCCAUGACAGAUACCAUGAAGAGUCUUUCCUUGUCAGCUCUAACAUUAUCGUCGUUGUUGUUGAUGAUGUUGCUAGUAUAUUUCAUCAUGAACUCAACUGGACUUAAUAUUUGUUUCCAUUAAAUUUUAGAAAAAAAAAAUUUUGAAUCUUUUGCGAAAGGGACAAAACCAUCGAUGUUUACUAUCAACACUCUAAUUUUUUAGAGAAGAAAGACACCAUGAAGAAAUGGAGACCUAUAUUUCUCAGGUACGUGUACAUGCAUAUAGAUCAUAAUGCAUUGUUUUCAACUGUCGCACGUGUGCGGCGGCGCGGCGAUCGUCCACCCUCAAGGAAAAAUUGGAAGAAUAUUUAUUCCUGGAAAAUAGGGAGAGACAAGGAAUUCUUGUCUCUACAAGUGAAAAUAUGGACUGGGAGUCGCCACCUAGUAUUCUGGUUACUAGGAACCUUAACUGGUCUUUAGAGAUCGGGUACGGAGACUAGUUGCGUAAAGGGAAGGUAUUAGCACCCCAACUACGCCCUACCUAAGGUAGGCUGCAUUGUUUUAAUGUCUGAUAAAAUCUAAAAUCAUGUUAUGGUUUUUUAAUUAUUGGUUCGUUUACGGUUUAAGAAAAGUCCUCCUAUGUAAGGAGAUCCUUAUCUUUAUCGGGUAAAAACCUAACUAUUCAAAGUCGUCAAAAGAAAAUAUCUUUUUAAUAUCAGGAAUACGAUUUACGUAUAAAUUCAUAAUCCCUGAUACUAAAAUCAAACAAAAUAAAAUUUUUGUUGUUUUUGAGAUUUUGGUCAAUGUUCUCUUGACUUUAAUAAACUGGUUAUUAAAGCCAAAAUGCAUGCUAAAAUAUUGUUUUUUGACAUAUGAAAAAUAUGAUAUGAGUUUUUAGAUUUGAGACACUUGGCCGUAUGCACAAAAAUAUUUUUUUUUAGUUGUUUUUUUGUAUUUUUGGAAGUUUUUGCCGAAAAUCGGGUAUUUUAAUACCGGAUUUGUAUUUUACGACAUAAAAAUACUGGCCGAUAUUAAUCAAAAUGACAUAAAAACGACGCGGAAAAAUUAUAAAAUGUUCAAACAAAUAUUUUUGAUUUUUUAUGUUGUGUGAACAGUACCGCGGGACGAAAACUGGGUAUUUUAAUACCGGAUUUAUAUUUUUACAAUGUAAAAUACAGAUCGAUAUUAAGCAAAAUUGAUAAAAAAAAAAUGUGCUGAAAAAAAUUGUAAAAAAAAAAUAAAAAAAAUUGAAAUGGGCCGGACCCGGCCCAUUUCAGUGGGCUGGGCCCACCCGACCCAUUUCUAAAUGGGCUGGUUACUGUGCAUAGCCUAUCAUCAGUUGCAGAACGUGAAUUAAUUCACGUUCUGCAUGAAAACAAAAGAAGGCAGAAGGAGAAGGAGACGGGGCAGCGGGAGGUUACCUGCGGUGGCGUCGAGGCGGUGCUGGUGGUGGCAGCGGAGGCGAUGGUGGCGGAGGCACAGUGGUUCUGCGUUUCCCUUCUCUCUCUCUUCUGUUUUUCUUCGUUUUCUUCCCUGCUUCUUCUUCUUCUUCUUCUUCUUCUUCUCUGCCCUCUCUCUUCUCUUCUCUUCUCUCUCGGUUCGUCUCCCUCUUCUCUCUCCAUCGGUCUCCCUUCUGUUUUUCUUCUCUUUUUUUCGGUGCCCCUCCCCUGUUUUUAUAGGCAAAAACAGGGGGGUGGUGUCGUGGUGGGGCGGCCACUGUCGGUCGCCCCUCCACUAUCGACUCAAAAGGAUAAAAAGGAGGAGACAAGUGGGUGAUUGCGGGCGUCUUAUUGCGCCAAAUCCGGGUGGGAAGUCGGUGCGAAAUAGAGGAGAAAAAAAAUCUUUGUCUCCCCUGUUCUCUGUGUGCGCAGGGAAGAAGACGAUGGUGCCGUUUCAAAACGACACCAUUUUGCAUUUUCCUUUUUUAUUUUUUCAAACAGUGCACGAAACGGCGCUGUUUUGGUCAAAACGCGCUGUUUCAUUUAAAAGGAAAAGGCGCCAAAACUUGUCAGAUUCAAAUUCCGGCCCUCCAUUUGCGCGCGUUUUACAAUUUAGUCCUUGGUCUCGGAUUUCUUCAAUUAAGUCUCUAAUUGGCCAUUAAACUUCAAUAUUUAUGCAAUUAAGCCCCUGAUUUGACCAAAUUAACUUCCAAAAAUUUAAAUUUGACCCCAGAAAAUUAAUUUCUCCUAAUUAAAGCCCAAAUUAACUCCAAAAUCAAUUUUUCUUGCAAUUAAAAUCUUUAUAAAUGCAAUUAAACCUUUAAUAAAAUUUAAUUGAGUCCAUAAACUUCUGAUUUUGCAUUUUCUUCCACAAAAUGAAUUUUCUUUAUCAUCGGGGCUCUCAUCAGUCAAUGAUAUACUGUCAAAAAUUAAUUUUUGAUUUUUGAACAUCCUCAAUCAAUUUUUGAGCAUUUUUAGGGCGCUCCGGCAUUUUUUCACUGUUAUAUUUUUUGAUAAUAUAUUUUUUUGAAUUUUUUUGUAUUUUAUUAUUUUUUAUGUGGGGACCCAGAAAUGGGUUACAACAGUUGCCCCCCUCUUUACAAUGCUUACGGAGCAAAGAUUUGUGCAUAGUAAGUGUUGUAAAGAUAAAACAAAAUUGGUUUUCCAAAACGGGUCGUCUCAAACUUUGAUUGACCUAAAACUUCAACCGGACCCAAAGUCCUGUGUGUGGUUGGGCUAAACUGAGAUUCCUUUUGCCAAUCCCCUUUAACCCGAAACUUAAAUAUUAUGUGUGUGUGGUUAGGAUAGACUAAGAUUCCUUUCGGCAAUCCCCUCUAACCAGAACCAAAAUCCUCUGUGGUUGGGAUAGACUGAGAUUCCUUUCGGCAAUCACCUCUAACCUGAACCAAAAUCCUCUGUGUGGUUGGGAUAGACUGAGAUUCCUUUCGGCAAUCCCCUCUAACCAGAACCAAAAUCCUCUGUGUGGUUGGGAUAGACUGAGAUUCCUUUCGGCAAUCCCCUCUAACCAGAACCAAAAUCCUCUGUGUGGUUGGGAUAGAUUGAGAUUCCUUUCGGCAAUCCCCUCUAACCAGAACCAAAAUCCUGUGUGGUUGGGAUAGACUGAGAUUCCUUUCGGCAAUCCCCUCUAACUAGAACCCAAAAACCUGUGUGUGCUUGGGAUAGACUGAGAUUCCUUUCGGCAAUCCCCUUUAACCAGAACCAAAAUCCUGUGUGUGGUUGGGAUAGACUGAGAUUCCUUUCGGCAAUCCCCUCUAACCAGAACCAAAAUCCUGUGUGUGGUUGGGAUAGACUGAGAUUGCUUUCGGCAAUCCCCUCUAACCAGAACCAAAAUCCUGUGUGGUUGGGAUAGACUGAGAUUCCUUUCGGCAAUCCCCUCUAACAAGAACCAAAAUCCUGUGUGUGGUUGGGAUAGACUGAGAUUGCUUUCGGCAAUCCCCUCUAACCAGAACCAAAAUCCUGUGUGGUUGGGAUAGACUGAGAUUCCUUUCGGCAAUCCCCUCUAACAAGAACCAAAAUCCUGUGUGUGGUUGGGAUAGACUGAGAUUGCUUUCGGCAAUCCCCUCUAACCAGAACCAAAAUCCUGUGUGGUUGGGAUAGACUGAGAUUCCUUUCGGCAAUCCCCUCUAACCAUAACCAAAAUCCUGUGUGGUUGGGAUAGACUGAGAUUCCUUUCGGCAAUCCCCUCUAACCAGAACCAAAAUCCUGUGUGUGGUUGGGAUAGACUGAGAUUGCUUUCGGCAAUCCCCUCUAACCAGAACCAAAAUCCUGUGUGGUUGGGAUAGACUGAGAUUCCUUUCGGCAAUCCCCUCUAACCAUAACCAAAAUCCUGUGUGGUUAGGAUAGACUAAGAUUCCUUUCGGCAAUCCCCUCUAACCAGAACCAAAAAUCCUGCGUGUGUAGCUCGGUCAACCUAAAAUCCCAUAUGGAGAUUCCCUGCUACAUGAGAUCCCAUCUGGCAACCUCAUUUAACCAAAACAAAAGAAAAUGUGAAAAAAAAACGGUCUCAUUGUAAUGGGUGACCUACCUAGAUGAAAAAAAGGAAGAGUGGUCGUGUUGUAAUGGGUGACCUACCCACGUGGAGGAAUGGUCUCAUUGUAAUGGGUGGCCUACCAAAAAAAAAACAUGGAGAAAUGGAUGGCGAGGGCUCAAAGGCGCACUCGAAAAGAGGUAGGGUUAGAAAACGCACUACCAAAGGAUGAGGGCUCAAAGGCGCACUCAAAAUAGAGGUGAGGGCUCAAAGGCGCACUCAAAAGGAGGUAGGGUUAGAAAACGCACUACCAAAGGGAUGAGGGCUCAAAGGCGCACUCAAAAGGAGGUAGGGUUAGAAAACGCACUACCCAAGGGAUGAGGGCUCAAAGGCGCACUCAAAAUGGAGGUGAGGGCUCAAAGGCGCACUCAAAAGGAGGUAGGGUUAGAAAACACACUACCCAAGGGAUGAGGGCUCAAAGGCGCACUCAAAAUGGAGGUGAGGGCUCAAAGGCGCACUCAAAAGGAGGUAGGGUUAGAAAACGCACUACCUAAGGGAUGAUGUCGAAACAUUGAUUGUCAAUGUUGAAAAGCAAAUGCAUUAUGAUUGAUAUGCAUGUAUACUUACCUGAGAAAUAUAGGCCCCCAUUUCUUCAUGGUGUCUUUGUUUUCUCUCAAAAGUUGUAGUAUUGGUAGUAAACUUCGAUGGCUUUUCCACGUUUGCUUACUCGGGUUACACAUUGUGAUCUUGACCUCUGGGAAGGGUUUGAUGUCAUCAUACAUCUUUGUCCUUCACCCCUUGAUCUCAAGAGUUACCAAUUUUGCCCGACAUUUUUCUUAGAACAGGAAUCAUGGAGCCAGCCCUACCAUGUGUUUUUGAUUGCCCCCCAGCUUGAUCAUGCCCCCCAAGUGUUCAACUUAGGUUUAGUGUGGGGUGAGGAUAUGUGAAAGUAGGUUUGAGUUUUUUGUACAAUGAAAUGUUUUCAUGCAAAAUAUUUGGAACUUCCAAGUUAUUUCAAAUCACAAAAAUGAUUUUGAUAUUGGUUCAAAAUAAACUUGUUCUCAAAAAUUCAAGCGAUUCCUAUGGACAGGUUUCUUGAAGUGAUAAAAGCUUUUUGCUUUUGGUUUAAAGAUGAAGGUGACAUCUGGUUGGUCACAAAAUGUUUAAAUGUCAAUUUGAGGGUUAUUGAGAACCGAAUUGAUUCAAAACAUUUAUUUUAUUUGCAUGAAUAAUGAUUUGACUCGCACGAGAAAGCACUGCAUACCGAUCCAGAUUGCUUGCCUUUGAUCAAAAAGGGCUUGAUUAGGUACGUAAUGUAGGCUUGAGUUAUUGGUUACAAAGAAAAGGAUAUGUUGCAGGCUCAAAAGGUGUUUAAGGGAUUUCAAGACUAGGGAUCACUUGUGCUCGUUUCCUGACCUUUUGUCUUUUGGAUUUGUUUUUUUUUUUUCAAAUGAGUUCUCCUGCCCCCUAGUGUCGGGUUUGGGCUUUUCUCUUUGUUUUCUUCGUUUUUGUUUGGUUGAGCACAAUCAUAUCAGUUGUUUGUAUAAGAAGCUCAAAUCUUUUAGAUCCUUUAGAUCUUAUUCUUUAACUAAUCAAUGCUUCAUUUAGAUGAUAAUGAAAGAUUAAAAAUUACAUGAUCAAAUCCAGCACCCAUCUUCACUGCUUUGUCUAGAUGGGUAAAAACUCUAUUAUUUUUCCCCCCAGUGUGGGGUGUGAUCCUAGUCAAGGUUAUUUCCAAAAAACAUUACUAGGCUUAAAAUGGGACUGCAACGGAUAUUUUUUUAUCCUUGUGAAAGGAUUAUCAAAGAUGGCAUUUCCUCAUCUCAAACUCAUGCAUUGAGGAUCGAUAGGUCUUGCUUUUGAGUCACCUCAUAGUGUUGUUUAUCUUUGUUGUCUUUUUUUCUUUCAAGUUUUCUAGGUAUAUGUGUACCUAUUUAAGGAAUCACUUGAAAUUUCAAAAUGCAUUUGUUUUGGACAAAUAUCAACACGAUUUUUGUUUUUUUUGUACUCACUUUGGAGGUCCCAAAAAAAUAUCCUUGAAAACAUAUGAGAUUAAUGUAUGGGUUUGGAAGAAAGGAAAACCAAAGGAUUCUUCAUGCUGUAGUGUUGUGAGGAAAGUUGCGCUCAAAAUGUUAUUUACAUGUAAUAACAACAAAGAAGAGUGUAAUGUGAACACAAGAAAACACAUGAUCUUAUUUCACAAGAGAAGCAUAUUAACAGAGAAAGUCUUGUUAAAAAGCAUUAACAAAAGGCAAUAACAAGGCAGGCUUCAUUCCUCUAUUUUGGCGAAUCUGUUCAUAGGCUAACCUCCUCUUAAAAGCUCUGCAUAGAGGACUCAAAGACAAUGCGGAACAACACCAUGGUUAAAAUUUGAGUUCUACAAAAUUCAAGCUAUCAUGCUGGACCAUUGAUGCUUCCCAAAUCCCCAAAACAUUCCAUCCUAAUAUGCUUCAAGCAUGAUUAGGCAGCGGGUUUGUAUUCAUAUUAGGGGUAUCUUCCAAUUUUAUCCACCCAGCCUUAAUUAAUUGCAGAAGCUUUCUCUUGAAGGCGUUGCAGGUAUAGAUGUUAUGCCUAGUAAUACCGGCAUGGUAUUCACAAUUGAGUUCUGGCUUGUACCAAUUAGGAUAAGGUGGUUGCAGAGGUGUUAGAGGUUCUGGAGCUAUUUGCCCGAUGCUCAAUAGCUUUUGAUACAUCUCAUUCAGGGGUAACGGUAGUGGAGGUAAUUGUUCUUGAACCCUUUGGAAAUUUCCAAUUUGGCUUUUGGCUUGAAAGUUUUGGGGUUCAGGUUUUCUGAUGUUGGCAAUUUGGAAUGGAGUAUGGUAAUUUUGGGAUGUAUUUGUUUUGCCCCUGUAGCCAUCUUCAACAUGGUGAACCUCUUUUCUUUUGACGCCUCUUUUCUCGGUUGGUGCAGCAAUUCUACCACUCUUGACACCUUGCUCUAUGCGUUCACACACUAUCACAGCAUCAGUGAAUUGUUGGGCUGAACUACCCAUCAUAUGUUCGUAAUAUGGUGCUUUGAGUGUGUUGGCAAAUAAAGAGACCAUCUUUUUGUCCAGAAGUGGGGGGAUGUACUUGAGCAGCUAAUUCUCGCCAUCUUUGAGCAUAUUCCCUUAUGCUUUCUUUAUCUUUUUUCUCUAUAUUGGACAAACUGGUUCUGUCGGGCGCAAUGUCCAUGUUUUACUUGUAUUGCUUGACGAAAGCAUCCACAAGAUUUUUCCAGUUGGGAAUUUUUGUGUUAUCCAAUCUCAUGUACCAACUCAAAGUUGCCCCACUUAAACUGUCUUGGAAAAAGUGCAUUAGUAGUUUUUCAUCAUGUACUACCUCAGCCAUUUUAUUGCAGUAGGACCUGAGAUGAGUCAUGGGGCAUUGUGUUCCACUGUAUUUGAUGAAUUCAGGAACACGAAAUUUCUUUGGGACAACCACAUUUGGGACCAAACACAUCUCUGCUGCCCGAACCGGGUCAUAUAAGUCUAUCCCUUCAAUGGCUUUAAGUCUGGCUUCCAGCGCCUCUAUCUUAGCUUGAUCAAUGCUAUCAGAUGACUUAGCCUUGUGGGACUCAUUAGCAGAUGCCUUCACUACUGUUGGGGAUGGUGCAGGUGUCGUUGACUGCACAAAUGUUGGAUUUUGCUGAGGUUCUUGACCAUGUUCGCUCAUUCUUUCCUCAAGCUGAACUGUAGUAGGAGCCGGAUCAAAGGUGAUCGGUUGAUUAGAAGGACCUUCAUCAGAGGUAUUUCUUAGUGUUUGCUUGAGUAAGCUAGUGAGGUGAGCCACACUUAUUUUCAGAGACUCCAACUCGUCGUGCAAAUAGGCCUCACAUUGAGCACGCUCUUCAUCUUCCAUGUUUCUUGCUCGAAGUCGGGUGUUGUAGACUUUUUGGGGACCUAUAUUUCAAUCUGCCAUGUAUGCAUGUUAAAUGUAUGAACAUGUAAUUUAUAUGAUAAACUUGCCCUUCGAGGGAUGACAUGAUUUUUUUAUUAUUAUUAUUUUUGUAUGACAUAUUCUGUAAAGAAAGAUAGCGCAUACAAACUAAAGACAGGGUCUAUUCAUGAAUAGGUUUUCUACCUGGUCUCAAAAGGGUCUCAUAUCUGCCUAGUGACGUCCUUCGUAAAGGCAGUAUGAGGGCGUUGCAAAGAACAGUUAAGGCACGUAUGCCCACCAUUACCAAGCAGGCUCUCAGAUAUAAGUUGGGUGUUUCACGCAUCUGAACCCGACCAAUAGUCAUAGGGCAGAUCAUUAAUUCCCCACUUAACUUAAAGGCUUGUGUAUGCUUUGAAAAACAUGUACAGAAAUUAAAGCGUGUAAGAAAAAAAAAUAAAUAAAGGAAAUGCAUAUUUAAAAAUAAACACGCAAACCACAAUAAAAAACACAAUAAUCAGACAAAAACAAAGCUUAGUCCACAAGGUCCCCAGCGGAGUCGCCAUUCUGUCGCACGUGUGCAGCGGCGCGGCGAUCGUCCACCCUCAAGGAAAAAUCGGAAAUAUUUAUUUCUUGCAAAUAGGGAGAGACAAGGAAUUCUUGUCUCUACAAGUGAAAAUAUAGACUGGGAGUCGCCACCUAGUAUUCUGGUUACUAGGAACCUUAACUGGUCUUUAGAGAUCGGGUACGGAGACUGGUUGCGUAAAGGGAAGGUAUUAGCACCCCAACUACGCCCUACCUAAGGUAGGCUGCAUUGUUUUAAUGUCUGAUAAAAUCUAAAAUCAUGUUAUGGUUUUUUAAUUGUUGGUUCGUUUACGGUUUAAGAAAAGUCCUCCUAUGUAAGGAGAUCCUUAUCUUUAUCGGGUAAAAACCUAACUAUUCAAAGUCGUCAAAAGAAAAUAUCUUUUUAAUAUCAGGAAUACGAUUUACGUAUAAAUUCAUAAUCCCUGAUACUAAAAUCAAACAAAAUAAAAUUUUUGUUGUUUUUGAGAUUUUGGCCAAUGUUCUCUUGACUUUAAUAAACUGGUUAUUAAAGCCAAAAUGCAUGCUAAAAUAUUGUUUUUUUGACAUAUGAAAAAUAUGAUAUGAGUUUUUAGAUUUGAGACACUUGGCCGUAUGCACAAAAACAUUUUUUUUAAUCGAUAUUAAGCAAAAUUGAUAAAAAAAAAGGUGCUGAAAAAAAUUGUAAAAAAAAAUAAAAAAAAUUGAAAUGGGCCGGACCCGGCCCAUUUUAGUGGGCUGGGCCAACCCGGCCCAUUACGAAAACUGAGAAGGAGACGGGGCAGCGGGAGGUUACCUGUGGUGGCGUCGAGGCGGUGCUGCUGGUGGCAGCGGAGGCGAUGGUGGUUCUGCGUUUCCCUUCUCUCUCUCUUUUGUUUUUCUUCGUUUUCUUCCCUGCUUCUUCUUCUUCUUCUUCUUCUUCUCUGCCCUCUCUCUUCUCUUCUCUUCUCUUCUCUCUCGGUUCGUCUCCCUCUUCUCUCUCCCUCGGUCUCCCUUUUGUUUUUCUUUUUUUUUCGGUGCCCCUCCCCUGUUUUUAUAGGCAAUGUCGAUCUGAAGAAGGGCGAACCGAUUUGCAGAGAAACAGAUCAAAGAGAAGCAGAUCUGAAAUGAAAAGAAAAAAAUAAAAUAAAAUCGACUGUUUGUGGUGUUUGCUUGGCUUUGCAGGUGACGAUGGUCUUCACCGCCGGUGAGGAGAGGAAGAAGGAGAGAAGCCGAGCUCGACCCACCUCCUGUUUUUCGUUUGAGGCGGCGCGUGAACCCACGCGCCGCCAGUGGCGGUGGAGCGUGGGAGGACGCACCGCCACUAUUCCCGAGCACUGUUUCCGGUGCCCAGAAACCUUCCAGCACUGUUCGGGCUUCCCUACAGUUACUAUAGAUUUUUGGGUUUUUAUUUUGUAAUUUUUGAAAUGUAAUAUUUUUAUUAUAGUAUUGAAUUUUAUUUGUAUUUUGUAAAUAUGGAUGUAAAAGAAAAGAAAAGAAAAGAAAAAGAAAAAAGAAAAGAAACAAAAAUAGUGAAAGUGUAUGUGUGUGUUUGUAUUUGUUUUAUGAAUUUGUUAUUUUGUUUUAUUUAUUUUUUAGGAUAAAAUCGCAAAGGUAAAAGAAGAAUUUAAUAUUUUGAUCGGAUCACGGUUAAGAAUUAUUAACUUAUACGUAAGUGAUAUUUCUAAUUUCCGAUGAAAAGACAAGUAUUAAAACUUCUUUAACACGUCAAAAAUCAUGAAGCAACUUACCUCAGGUAGGGUGCGUUAGGGGUGCUAAUACCUUCCCUAACCACAACCAGUCCCUUACCCGCGAAUCUCUGACAAGACCAGUACAUCCGGUUUCCUAGUAGCCUUCAAUAAAUUACUAGGUGGCGACUCCAACGAACCAAUCAAAGCAACAAACACAACAACGAGAAAAAUCGCUAGCCGAUGCCGCGCGGGAUUUUUAGACGUGCGACAGAAUGGCGACUCCACUGGGGAAGGUACUGUUUCUGACAUUAUUGGACUAAGCUUUGUGUAUUUGAUGUGUUUAAAUUUUUGCAUUUUUAUCUUUUUGUUAAUAUUUUUUUUCCAUGCAUUUUAUAGAAUUGUUUCAUGCAUCACCUGUAUUUAUUUUUGAAAGCACACACAAGCUUCUAGGUUAGGUGGGGAACUAGCGAUCUGCCCUAAGACUAUUGGUCAGGGUUCAGAUGCGUGAAACACCCAACUCAUAUCUGAGUGCCUGCUUGGUAAUGGUGGGUAUACGUGCCUUAACUAUUCCUUGCAACGCCCCCAUACUGUCUUUACGAAGAACGUCACUAGGCAGAUAUGAGACCAGAUAGAAAACCUACCCAUGUUCACAUAAUAAAUAGAACUUGUCCUUAAGUUGUAUGUGCUAUCGUUAUUUGUAUCAGAGCAAACCCUUCUUGAAGCAUCUUGAACUCAAGACUUGUGGGUGACACAUUGGCCGUCACUCCAAAAAUUUUCAUUGUAGAGUUUGGGAAAAAAUCACAAUUUUUGUUCCAUCAUACAAGAGUUACGAACAUAUUGUCACCCCUUGAAGAGCGAGUUCAUCAUAUAGAUUACAUGUUCAUACAUUUAUCAUGCAUGAACCGGGUUGAAAGGUAGGUCCCCUGUACAAGUUGUGCUGCACGUGAUUGAAGAAAGAUGAGGGAAGUGAACAAAGGAGUCAGAUAGAGGCUCAUUAUCAGAUUAAGGUUGAGAGCAUCAAAUUUGAAGUAGCUGGACUCAGAUUUGCCCGAACAAGUGUUGAGCAUCAAAUGGAAAGAGAGUGUCUGCAUAGUCUUCUGUGGGAACACUGCUUGUUCACGACCAAUUGAAGCUGUAUCUCUCCUUUUCCGUCAUGAACAACAACAACAAUGCCUUUAGUCAUCAACUAAUGACAACUCUGGUUCUUGUCCAGUUGCACUGUUAAAUGUUGAUCGCCUCCACAUCAUCUAAUGGAACCAAACAACUACCGGUCUCCUGUACAUGGUGCAUUAGUCUUCUUUGAAGCUACCCCAAUUAUGAGCUCAAUUCCAUUCAGCAGCACAAGAUGUUGGUCUGAAAAACCAUGAUUAGACACUGAACUUCUACGUGGUAGAGCUCUCUCUGUAGAGAUUUAUUUGUGGAUCUGCCAAUGGAAAUGCAAAAGGGAUGUAUUAAAUAUGCUUUGAAACUUUUUCCCAUCAGUGGCACGAGCAAAACAUUAUAGUAGGCAGAGAGUCAGGCCUGAUCUGAAAAUGAGUGGUCGUCGAACUUCAACGUGGCAGAGCUCUCUCUACAAAAAUCUGUUUAUGAUGCUGCAAGUUGAGAGUGCAAGAGGGGAUUUACUAAUUACAUAUGCUACAAAUAUUUGUCUCAACAGUUUCAGCAUGAAGAAACUGUAACAGGUUGAAGAGCCAGACUUGGUUUGAAAAACAUGAGCAUACAUCAAACUUCAAUGUAGCAGAGAUCUCUUGGCAUGAAUCUAUUUGUGGAUAUACAAGUGGGAAAUCCAAGAAGGGAUGCAGUGGUUUCAGAUUGUCCAUAAUUGUUUCCUUCCAAUAUCGGCAUUAAAACGCAAAAGUGGUUAUUUGCUGCACCAUCAGUGAGGAAUCAAAGAGGAAAUAGAAGAUGUUGUAGAUUCAUCGGGUUCUCUUCCAAUUUUGACAAAAGGUGAUUCCACACGCUUUUGUUUUUGUGCGCUGCCGGGAUUACAUAUCUAUUGAGAGGUUUCCAAGAACAACAACAAUAUCAUUGGAAGAUUGACAUGAAGUUGUGUGGAUUGCCAAGAAAGAAUUGAAUAUGUUAUGAAGAGAGGAAAGAUUGAAGGUUUUGUCAUGGAUUUCAGAACAAUGAUGAGAAAUGAAUCAGAAGAUGACUCUGACGGUGGGAAACCUUAAUUAUGUGGUCUAAGCCAAGUCUCGCUGUAUCAUCGACCACUCCAAUGUCUUUGUCAAAGAUAGAAGUUCAUUUGCCAUAUGGUGUAAUCCAGACAACAUAUGCGAUGUGGUGGUGGGGUCCUCGACCAUUUCAAUGGAAUAGUUGCAAGAAUUUCAAUUGCACAGUGGCCAUGUGGGUUUAUUUACCAGAAUUUGCUAGAUUCUAGACUUUUGCUAGACGCCGACAGAUCCCAUGCAACCACCAAUUUCUAGGUGGUAUAAUCCAGAUAAAAGUUGUGAUGUCAUGGUGGGGUCCUCAACCAUUUCAAUUGAACAGUUUCAAGAAUUGAGUCCGAAAGUUGGUGAGCAAGAAACAAGUGGAGUCGGUGAAGGAGGUUGUCAUUGGCUAUAUUGUCCCCCGAACAUCUUCAAAAUGACAUGAUUGAUCGAGAGUGCUUGGCAAAACACAGAUAUAGCCAGAACAACUAAUUCAAGAAUGGUGAUGAACGGCCAAUCAUAUUGUUAUGGAAUUUUGCAUUUUUGUUUUGAGAUCACAUCUCAUCCUUCAACGAAACAUGCCUUGCUUUUGUCUCUUUGUUGUUUUGAAAUCAACAGAUGUUUAACAUUUUUUCUAACAAAAUAUUUUGAUCAAACUCCAACAUGCGAUAAAGGUUAAUCAAUCCUGAAGAUUAAAAGUGUUUUGAUUCCAAAAUGACUUGAUGCUUGUUGAAAUGACAUGAGGUGACCAAACAAAUUUUGAGCUCACAUAAAAUUGAACCACACAUCAUUAACUAAGUUUUAGCAGUAUGCAUAAUGACAUGUAGUGGAUUCGGUAGCUAUGGACUCGUGAAUCAUUGACUCUUAUAAGUCUAAAUCAUUACAAUGGAUGAGGUCAAAAUUUAUCAGUUCUAACCGACCUUGCUUGAAAUGAGAAAAGGCCAUCUUUGUUAUCCUUCCACAUUUCUCGAAAAAUUAUCCUUUGCAGUACCAUUUUGAGCCUGGUGAAAUAUUUUCUUUCAAAAAGAAACCCUGACUAGGAUCACACCCCACACUGGGGGCAAAUGAGAGAUGUUUUGAAGGCAUUGAUAUAAUUAAUGGAUAAAGGGGAAGACUUAGAACAAAAGUCCAAUGAUUGAGAGAGGGCUAAAAGAAACACCUAAACUGGGGGCAUAUAAGAAAAUUUUGAGGAAGGCUAUGAGUUGAAAUUGCCUUCACUUAAAUACAAGUCAAAGAUAAAGGAAGGAGAAUGCCUAUCAAGUCUAGGAAGAGCAAGAGAAAUUUCAAUCAAGAAAAGACACAACAACGUCAUAAUGCAUGUCGCACGUCGAAAAAUUCCGCACGACAUCGACUGGCGAUUUUUUAUUAUUUGUGUUUUGCUUGGUUUGUUGGAGUCACCACCUAGUAUUAUGGUCACUAGGAACCUAAGGUCUGCGAGAAUCUGAGUAAGGGACUGGUUGUGCAAGGGGAAGUCGCAUCACCCCUAGUGCACCCUACCUAAGGCAAGCUGCAUUAUUGUUUGAUUGUUUUUGUAGGUCGAGUUUCUAUUCGCUGGUCUUUUCUAAGGUUCAAGGCAGAUCUCCCCUCGUGAGGAAGUCUCUACCUUAUUCGGUUAAAUCCUAACCAUUCUAAAGUCUUAAUUUUAAAAUUUGCUUUUAUUUACACCUUGUAUUUUUAAUACCCGAGGAUGUACAUUAUCGCGUAAUUUUACACCCCACAAAUAUUAAAGUCUACAUCUGGAUCCUAGAAAAAAAGGUUGGAAAAAGGUUUUUGACAUUUUGGCCAAAUCCUAAUGGACAAUCAUAAUCUGGUUACGAUAUCCAUUUUAAAAAACAUGAAAAAGAUGCAAUUUUUGUUUUUACAAAAAAUAUGCUUGGAAAAAUUUUAGGAUUUGGCCGUAUGCAAUGAAAUAUUUUUUUCUUUUGAAAAUGUUUUUUUUUUUUUUUUUUUGAAAUAUUUCGGAGAAAACCAGGUAUUUUAAUACCGAUUUGUAUUUUACAAUGUAAAUAUACAACGAUAUUGUGCAAAACUUGGUGGAAAAAUAUUUAAGAAAACCACAAAUUUUUAUAUGAUUUUUUGAAUAUUUUUUGAAAUUUUUUUUUUUUUUUUUUUGGGCCGGGCUGGGCCAGAACCGGCCCGGCCCGGCAGUGGCUAAUUAAUUAGCCACUGCAUGCAGAAAUGAAUUCUGCAUGCAGCGGCUACAAGAACGAAGAAAAAAAGGUGGAGCAGGGAGGAGAGAGUUACCUGGCGUGGAGAGAGUCGGCGCCUGGCUGGGGUGCGCGGUUCUGGUGGCGGCGAGGCCGGCGGCGUGCACGGUCCCGGCUGGAAGAAGAAGGAAACGAGUCCUGCAGAGGAGAGGGAAAGCUCACGGCUGGAGCUGUUGGUGUGGCUGAGGAGGGAAAUGCUACCCGGGCUGCUGCUGAUAAGGCAAGCCGCUGGAAAGGGUGGUUGCGCUGCUGUGCUGCUGGGUUGCGGUGGUGGAGAGAAAAAAGUUUUGCAGAGAAAGAGGGGGAGAGAGAGAGGUGUUGCAGGCUUCGGUGAGGUUGCUGAGUGAUGGAUGGGAUGUGGUGUUUCAGGGGAAGGAUGAUGGCGAGAUCAGUGGUGGCAACUAGAGGCCACGGCGGAGAGGAAAAAAAAAGAGAGAGGACUGGUUGCAGGAAAACCGGGCAGGAAAAGCUGAUUUUCGGGCCAACUUUGAGUUCAGUUCUCUCCUCUCUCAGAGCAUUAAAUUGGCCCCUAUUUAUAGGGAUGGAAAGAGGGUAAUCUUGUGUUCAACGGGGAAAAAGUCUCAGCCUUUGAUUCGACUCGAGGAAUCCAAGCCGUUGGUUCAAAGUGUGCACCUCGAACUGCCAAAUUUGGCAAUCCAAGGCUGCAGACUGCCCGAGGGUGCCACUUUGGGCCAAUAAACGGAGUUGUCCCCAAGUUUUUACACCCGACCGGACCACUCUACGAGAUAAAGAUGUUUCAGGGGAACAUGUUGGUGCACGCCUUGUCGGCUUUGGGGGCCAAACGAGUGAGAAAACGCGCCUGGAAAGCAGCCACUCGGGCAGCUUUGUGAGGAAGACGAUGAACAAUACCCGGGCGACGCGUCGACGGGUCCCUUCCCUCCACAAAAACGGCGCCGUUUGGGAUAAAAAUUAGGGAUUCUUGCUGAUUUUCAAUUUAGCCCUCCAGCUUUCAAUUGCUUUCAAUUUGACCCCCGGAUUUUGUCAAUUAGACCCCUAUAGUUUGGCGCCUUUUGCAAGUUGGUCCUUGUCUUUGGAUUUUGUCAAUUUAACCCCUAAUUGACCCCAAAACUUCAAUUUGCUUGCAAUUUGACCCUUGAUUUCAAUCAAUCAACUUGGUAAAAAUUAAAUUUGGUCUCUUAAAAUUCCAAUCUUCUCAAUUAAGCCCAAAUUAAGCUCCCAAACUUAAUUUUUCACCAAUUAAGCCCCAAAUAAAAUUAAUUUGACCCAUUUAAAGUAUAAUUAAGUCCUUGCACUUAAUUAAAUCCUUCAAUUGGACCCAAAUUAAUUCUUAAACAUAAUUAAAAUUCAAUUUGGCCCAUGAUUAAAUCAAAUUGGCCUAUUAAAAAUUUAAUUAUGUCCUUGGACUUAAUUUUCAUGCGAAUUCGUCCAAUAAUCAUUUAAUAUGACCUUGAAUUUGCAUUGUAUUCUUCUAAAAAUUGCAGCUUGAUUUCCCGACCUACCUUCUCCACGUUGUCAGCCUUUAUUUUAUUUUUUGAUUUUUAUUUUGAAAAAAGAAAUUGAUUUUUGGGGAAUAACCCAGAAUUGGGUUAUGACAAUGCAAAUCCUCAUUUCCAUGAUGAAUAACCAACCUUAAUCAUUUGAUAACAUCAUAAUGGUUAUCAAAAGUAAAAAAGACUAAGCUAUAAAAGUGACUUUUGAUAACCAUUAUGAUGUUAUCAGAUGAUUAAGGUUGGUUAUUCAUCAUGGAAAUGAGGAUUUGCAUUAUGACGUUAGUUAUUCAUCAUGGAAAUGUGGAUUUGCAUUAUGACUUAUGUUAAUAGAAGUCUGAUCUUUGAGGUUAACAAGGUUCUAUGUCAUUUCCUCUAUAAAGACAACAAUAGAAAACGAGUUGAUGAAUAAUUGAUGUUGAUCCUAGGUUUUUGAAACCCUCAAACACCUUUUGAGUCUUUGAAAUUCUUUUCUUUCAUAGCCAUAAACCAUAGCCUGCAUUACAUGCUUUUUAAAAGCCCUUUUUAAUCAAGCAAGCAACUUGAACCGAUAAAUGACGCUCUCAAAACUUGAAGAGUUUUUCCAUAAGAGUCGUGGCUUCAUAAAUUAAGUUACUGGUCGUUAUGCAUGUUGAUAAAAUUAUUGCUAAAAAACAAAACAUUUUUCCUUCAUGAAUCCUCAAGUUUUGACUUGAGCCUGUUGUUUUCCUUGAAAUUAACAGAAGGUCACCUCAUCGCAGACCAUCAAAAGAUAUACCUAAAAUCAGAGUUUAAAGUGGACACAAAGAACCAUGGAAAAGACCAUUUUAAUCUUACAACGGGUCGAUUUCUAUUUUCAAAAUACAAGACAAUCGAAGGACUACAUUGAAUGAUGUGUGUUGGGUCUUUGAUCAAAGAAGCUUGAAUUUCAAAAAUACUUUUCAAAAAAAAAACUGAUAUCUCUCUGAUUUCAUCUCAACAACUAGACUUUGAAUAAACAUGAUCUUUGAAAUAUGAGAUUUGAUUCUAGAACAAGAAAGAUUUUCAAACAAGAACAUCGAUGGAGUUUGCAAAAUCCUUGACAAAAAUGACAUCAACAUUUCUCGACACUCCUUGAAACGUUGACCACUUGGGGGCAAUACAAUGGACCUUAGAAAAAAACAAACAACAUUCUGAUCAGCUGGGGGCAAAGAAAGAAUCAGAUGAUGAGUCGUCAAAGUUCAUCAAAGUUAUGUUUAGCAUCUGACAAUGACAAGGAAAAACCUUCUUGAGUAUAAACCGAUGAACGAACCUUCAGAUCAUAUUGGGGGCAAUGUUGUUCAAAGACAAUCCAUGAUCUAGUGCAUUUCAGCAGCAAUUGAUGAGCAACGCUGCACUAGAAUGAUAUUUUCAUAUCUUCAUUUUGGUUUAUCAUCUUCAACAUGGUUAUGACUUUUGAUCGAUGCUAUCACUAGUUGCAUGUGCAUGAAUGCUGGAAGGAUGCACCCACCAAGACUGACUGUGGGACCAUUUGUUUUGAAGCUCAAAUGUACACUUCAUCGCAUGAAUAUGGGUGAUAACAUGAACAUCAUUGAUGAUGCCAAUACAUUUCUUUUCAAGAUCUGAUUAGAUGGAUGAGAAGAACUUUUUGAGGAAAACAUUGAGCUUACAACAAUGAGCCUUUCCCUGCAAAGUAUGAGAUGCAUGUCGGAAUGACGUGGCAGUCCCAUGAUUAUGGAUGACCAUAUAUACUUGAAUGGUGUUUCAACUGGAGGCAGUUUCAGAUUGGUUAACAAUCUUGAUGGGUGUUGGCAUGAUGCACACAAUCAAUCAAAGGAUAAUCCUCGAAAGAAUCUAGGAGAGAAAAUCCUUCAUAAUGAAUCAAGCAGCACCACACUUGGGGGCAGGGUCAAGCUUGAUGAACGAUGCGAGCAAUAAUUGUCGAAGACAGCCCGGGAUGGGCACUGCAUUUACAGCUGAGUGGAUGGCUAGCACAUGAAUGAGCCAAUACAUCGAAAGAAUAAGGAAAGCUUUGGAAUGCAAACAAAGGCACCUUGUGACGAUGAAGCAUCAAAGAGGGGGGAGCCUAUAUUUCAAAUCAGGUAAGGAUGCAUGCAUAUCAUCUAACCUAAAAAAAAAAGAAAAAAAAACAAACCAUUUGCAUAUAUUUUUGAAUUGUUACAGGAAAAUCCUUAAUGAGGUCUAGCAAGAUGGUGGAAAGAGAAAGAAGCAUUGUGGUGAUGAUAAUAAAGAAUCGGUUUUGAUCAUGGAAUAAAAGGAUGAUGGGAUGAACCCUACCAUUAGGAAAAUCCCAAAGAAAUGAAUAGAUCAAUCUUGCAAUCGGGAAGCCUCGAGUUUUCAACCCUUGUAGUCAGGAAAUACCGAUUUUCAAACCCUAUGAUCAGGAAUUAUCAGGAAGCACCAAGUUUUCCAGCCCUUCUUCUGUCAUCCCCUCAGGACUUCGCCAGGUAAGUCCUAUUUUGCACACUUCAUAUUGUUUCUAUUUUGGGUAGGUCACCCAUUACAAUGAGACCACACUUCAUAUUUUUUUUCCAUUUUUGGGUAGGUCACCCAUUAUAAUAAGACCGCACUUCAUAUUCUUUCCAUCUGGGUAGGUCACCCAUCAUAAUGAGACCGUUUUUUUCAUAUUCUUUCCACCUGGGUAGGUCACCCAUUACAAUGAGACCAUUUUUUUUUUACACAUUCUUUUGUUUUGGUUAAAUGAGAUCACCAGAUGGGAUCUCAUGUAGCUUUGGUUAAAGGGAAUCGCAAGAUGGGAUUUCAGGUUAACCGAGUUACACAUAUUUUCGUUCCAGUUGAAUGAGGUCGCCAGAUGGGAUCUCAUGUAGCUUUGGUUAAAGGGAAUCGCCAUAUGGGAUUUCAGGUUAACCGAGUUACACAUAUUUUUGUUCCAGUUGAAUGAGGUCGCCAGAUGGGAUCUCAGGUAGCUUUGGUUAAAGGGAAUCGCUAGAUGGGAUUUCAGGUUAACCGAGUUACACACAGUUUAGUUCCAGUUGAAUGAGGUCGCCAGAUGGGAUCUCAGGUAGCUUUGGUUAAAGGGAAUCACCAGAUGAGAUUUCAGGUUAACCGAGUUACACACAGUUUAGUUCCAGUUGAAUGAGGUCGCCAGAUGGGAUCUCAUGUAGCUUUGGUUAAAGGGAGUCGCCAGAUGGGAUUUCAGGUUAACCGAGUUACGCAUAUUUUGUUCCAAUUGAAUGAGAUCGCCAGAUGGGACCUCAUGUAGCUUUGGUUAAAGGGAAUCGCUAGAUGGGAUUUCAGGUUAACCGAGUUACACAAUAUUUUCGUUCCAGUUGAAUGAGUUCGCUAGAUGGGAUCUCAUUUAGCUUUGGUUAAAGGGAAUCGCUAGAUGGGAUUUCAAUUUAACCGAGCUACACACCAACUUUUGUUCUUGUUAGAUCGCCAGAUGGGAUCUCAGGUAAACCCAAUUAAAAGGGCAGGUCGCCCGGGAAAAUAGACCAAUGUGAGAGUGUGGGCCAAUCGCCCGUGGAAAUAGAUCAGAGUGAGUAUGUGCGGGCAGGUCGCCCGUGAAAAUAGACCAGAGUGAGUAUGGGUGGGCAGGUCACCCGUGAAAAUAGACCAGUGUGAGAGUGUGGGUCGGUCGCCCGUGAAAAUAGACCAGAGUGAGUAUGGGUGGGCAGGUCGCCCGUGAAAAUAGACUAGUGUGAGUGUGUGGGUCGGUCGCCCCUGAAAAUAGACCACUUUGAGUAUGUGUGGGCAGGUCACCUGUGAAAAUAAAUCAGUGUGAGUGUGUGGGCAGGCCGUCCAAGAUAAUGAAAUCAUUUUCCUUUUGUUUUCUUUACAAAGCUUACUAUGCAAAAAAAAAGGAUUUUCGCUUCGUAAGCAUUGUAAAGAGGGGGCAUCUGUUGCUACCCAAAUUUUGACCCAUGUUUUUGAUAUGUUUUUAAAAAAAUUCAAAAAUAGAGAAAAACAAAGAAAAUCCAAAAAAAUAUGUUUUUUUAAUAUAUUUUCGUCAUUUUAGCAUUUUCAACGUCGUCUAAAAAAAGAAUUUAAAUUUUUAAAAAAAUAUUUCCAAACGUGUUCGACUUUUCACGCGUCAUUUUUAAAAUAAUUGAUUUUCCUCAUUGAGUCGGCGUUGAUAUUGCUUGUUUUCAAAAAAAUACAAAAAAAUAAGAAAAAUCAAAAUUUACAAAAAAAAAAGAAGUUGAGGGACCAAGUUGAAAAAACCUAGCAACAUUUUACCUAUAAAUACUGGUUUCCUCAACACAUUCAAAAGGAGGGGGGCAAUUUUGAAAUAUCAGAAAAAGAUACAAAAAAAAAAAAAAAAAACCCUAGGAGCCUAAUUUUUUUCUCCCCUCACGAAGGCAGCCGCCGCCCCCCCCCCCACCUUUUGAUUUUUCUCUUCCCCCUGCAGCCGCUCAACCAAGCCAGCCCCUCACCUUUUUGAAUUUUUCUUCUCCCACAACCGGCAAAACAGCAGCCCCCAGCCGGUUUGAAUUUUCUUCUUCCCCUUAGCAGCCGGAUAACUCACCCCCUCACCUCACACAAACCGGCCGCCAACCACCUCUCCUUUACCCAGAGAAACCCACUGGACACAAGCCUUCUCCAGUUCUCCCCUGGAGCCGCCUCCUCCCCCUUAGCCACGGCCUCCACCGAACUCCAAACUUCCAGCCCGUAGCUGACAGAUCUGCCAUCUUCAACCUGCCGCAGACCGUCCUCUAGUAGCAGCUCCGCCACCCACCAGACCUGCCAAGAGAAGUGAAGACAGAGACCAGCGUCGUCCCCCUUUGCUUUCCCCUCUCAUCGGCCGCCUGCUUCUCCUCCCACGAUCUCUUCAUCUCCAUCGACAACGAAGCCGCCGAACAGACGACAGCAGCAGCAACCCCAACAGCACCGCCCGAAGUAGAGGCUGACCAGGGGCAAAGUCGAUCUGAAGAAGGGCGAACCGAUCUGCAGAGAAACAGAUCAAAGAGAAGCAGAUCUGAAACGAAAAGAAAAAAAUAAAAUAAAACCGAUUGUUUGUGGUGUUUGCUUGGCUUUGCAGGUGACGGUGGUCUUCACCGCCGGUGAGGAGAGGAAGAAGGAGAGAAGCCGAGCUCGACCCACCUCCUUUUUUUUGUUUGCGGCGGCGCGUGAACCCACGCGCCGCCAGUGGUGGUGGCGCGUGGGAGGACGCGCCACCACUGUUCCCGAGCACUGUUUCCGGUGCCCAGAAACCUUCUAGCACUGUUCGGGCUUCCCUGUAGUUAUUGUAGAUUUUUGGGUUUUUAUUUUGUAAUUUUUAAAAUGUAAUAUUUUUAUUUUAGUAUUGAAUUUUAUUUGUAUUUUGUAAAUAUGGAUGUAAAAGAAAAGAAAAGAAAAGAAAAAGAAAAAAGAAAAGAAACAAAAAUAGUGAAAGUGUAUGUGUGUGUUUGUAUUUGUUUUAUGAAUUUGUUAUUUUGUUUUAUUUAUUUAUUAGGAUAAAAUCGCAAAGGUAAAAGAAGAAUUUAAUAUUUUGAUCGGAUCACGCUUAAGAAUUAUUAACUUAUACAUAAGUGAUAUUUCUAAUUUUCGAUGAAAAGACAAUUAUUAAAACUAGGUGGCGACUCCAACGACCAAUCAUAGCAACAAACACAACAACGAGAAAAAUCGCCAGCCGAUGCCGCGCGGGAUUUUCAGACGUGCGACAAACCGAGCUGCACAUAUUUUUUUAUUUUGGUUUAAUGAGGUCGCCAGAUGGGAUCUCAUGUAGCUUUGGUUAAAGGGGAUUGCCAGAUGGGAUUUCAGGUUAACCGAGCUACAUAUAUUUUUUGGUUUUGGUUUAAUGAGGUUGCUAGAUGGGAUCUAAAGUAGCUUUGGUGAAAGGGAAUCGCCAGAUGGGAUUUCAGGUUGACCGAGCUACCCAUAUUUUUUAGUUCUAGUUUAAUGAGGUCACCAGAUGGGAUCUCAGGUGGCUUUGGUUAAAGGGAAUCGCCCGAUGAGAUUUCAGGUUGAUCGAGCUCCACGUAUUUUUUUUAGUUCCAGUUGAAUGAGGUCGCUAGAUGGGAUCUCAUGUGGCUUUGGUUAAAAGGAAUUGCUAGAUGGGAUUUCAGGUUGACCGAGCUACACACAUUCUUUGGUUUUGGUAAAGGAGGUCGCCAGAUGGGAUUCAGGUUAACGGAAAAGAGAGAGAGAGAGAGAGAGAGAGAGAGAGAGAGAGAAAAGACAAGAAAAAGAAACAGGAAAAAAAAAGAGAGUAAGGUCUUUAGAUGAAUGGAUAUUGAGCAAGUUAAGCAGACGGAAAGAUAAGUUUUCUUUACAAAGCUUACUAUGCAAAACAUUGAGGAGUUUUGCUUCGUAAGCAUUGUAAAGAGGGGGCAUCUGUUGCUACCCAAUUUUUUACCCGUGUUUUGAUAAAUUUUCAGAAAAAAAAUCCAAAAAUAGCGAAAAACAUCGAAAAUCCAAAAAAAUAUGUUUUUUAAUAUAUUUUUAUUAUUUUAGCAUUUUCAACGUUGUCUAAAAUGAAUGUAAAUUUUUAAGGGUCUUUCGAACGCGUUCGACUUUUCACGCGUUAUUUUUAAAAUCAUUGAUUUUCCUCAUCAAGUCGACAUUGAUAUUGCUCUUUUUAAAAAAAUACAAAAAAAAUAAGAAAAAAUCAAAAUUUACAAAAAAAAAAGUUGAGGGACCAAGUUUGGAAACCUAGCAAUAUAUUUAUCUAUAAAUAAGAGUUUCCAACACUUGCACAUGGGUGGUAAUUUUGAAUGAAAAAUACAAAAAGAAAAAAAAGAAAACCUAUCUAACCCAAACAUUCACCCCCCACCCGGCUUUGAUUUUUUCUCUGAAACCAGCCGCCCCACUCCCAUUCACAGAUACAAACUAGCCGGCGGCGCCCCCCCUGGAUUUGGUUUCUUCUUCCUUCAGCCAGAGGUCCCCAGUUUCCUUCCCCUGCCAUCUCACCCUCAACCCACUCUCCCAAAACCGGAGCAGCCACUCCGUUCCCCCAAGCCACAUAUCUUUCCUCUCUCACCUGAACACCCACCAGAACCACAAAAGCCAGCCCUCGCCCACUUCCCCUCUCAACCGAACCGUUUCCCCCGUCUCCAUCGACCAGCCUUCCAGAGGCUGCCAUAAAGAGUCUUUCCUUGUCAACUCUAACAUUGUCGUCGUUAUUGUUGACGAUGAUGCUGCUCAACACAAAACGUUGCGGUGCUAGUAUUUCACUGCUGGAAAUGGACGAUGACGUCCCCUUGUACUCCAUAGCUGAUUCCAACUUAGAUUUGGAGUUCAUGAUGGAUUCCGAAAUUAAACAGGAUUCUCCUUGGCUCUCGUCGUGUUGGAGAUGGUGCUCUCAAUCCAGAUAAACAAGCAUUUGGUUGCAGGCGAGAUAAUCGAUAUGCGUGCCUAAAGAUUCUAAUAAUAUGUAAGCUGCGUAUAUUAGAAAUAUUAUUUAAAAAUAAAUAUUUUUAUUUUUAAAAAUAAAAUUUAUCUAUACAAAGAUUAAAAAAUAUAUAUAGAUAAAUCAGAAAAAUUAACCUCCUCAAAAAUUAAAUGUAUAAUUCAAAAAUAACUGUUAUUUCAAAGAGGCUCUCUAAAUAACAUAAAAAAAAGAGGUAUUAAUCUAAAAAUAAAUAAAAUACAUAUAAAAAAUACAUAUAAAAAAGAAUUAAUUUUUAAAAAAAAAACACAAAAAAUAAAAACAAAAACAAAAACAAAAAAAAGGCACUGUUGCACCUAGCAAGCCAGGUAAGCCUGCUUGGCUUAUUUUGUUAGGUUCCAUGCAUGUUGAAAUUUUUUUUUGUUGCAAAUUGUUUAUGAAAAAAAAUAAGAUGAUGCAUCACCUGUGGGAUAUUUUUUCUCUCUUACAAAAACAGUAUACAUGCAUGCUUUUUCGAUGCAUUUUUUACAUAAAAAAAUUAAAAUUUUAAAUUAAAAAGCUAAUGCAUACAUGUAAUCAAAUAAAUCAACAACUAAAUGAAUUAACAAUCGUAAAAAAAAGGUAUUGAUGAUACCUAAAAAUAAAAUUAGAAGAUUCAGAUGUGUUAAUAAACGAAAUAUUUACCCGGAUGUGUUUUUUGAAUUUGUUUAUUAAAAUUAAUAUUUUUAUUCAAUCAAAUAAUAUUAAAAAUAAACACAUAUAUUAAAUUUAUUAAAUAAAAUAAAAGUGAAAAAAAAAAAUUAUGCAAGGCUAUACAUAUUAUGUUAUCCUUAAAUAAAUAUUUUAUAUUUUUAAAAUAAAAUUCUUUUAUACAAAAAGAUAAAAGAAAAAAUUGUUGAUUAAUUAGAAUGAGUUUUUCAAAAAUUAAAUACGAACAACACUAUAAAAAAAUAAUCUCUAUCCAAAAAAAAAAAUCAACAAAAAAAAACCCACAAAUGAGGGAUAUUAAUUAAAACAUAAAUUCUAAAAAAUAUUUAAAAAAAGACACAUAAAAAAUACCAAUAGAAAAAAAUAAUAACAUAAAAAAAAAAUUGUUUGGUUGUUGUGCCUUAACUCGUUAGACUCAUGACCUAAACAAUAAAUUUAACUCAAUUAGGUUCAAUAGUUUUUCCCUUUAAAUAUAUAAUCAACUUGUAACAUAAAAAAAUUAAACCCGUGACCCGGAUCAUAAACUCAACCGGGCUUAAUAUUUUUUUCUAUUAAAUUUUAGAAAAAAAAUAAACCCUUUACCCAGACCAUAAACUCAAUUGGAUUUAAUAAAUUGUUUUCCUUUAAGUUUAUAUUCUACCUCUAAAAAAAAAUUAAAAACAUAAAACACGAUUAAAAAAAAAUUUAUAUCCAAAAUAAAUAAAAAAAUAAAAAAAAAUCACAGAUAAGUGAUAUUAAUUGAAACAUAAAUUUAAAUUAUUUAAAAACAUAUAUUUAUAUAUAAAAAAGACACCAAUAAAAAAAGGUAAUAUUAAAAAAAAAUCCAAUUAUUAUGGCUUAACUCAUUAAAUCCAUGUUUGAAUUUAUAAACUUGAAUUCAAUAUUUUUUCUUUUGAAUUUAUAUUUAACUUUUAAAAAAAAAAAAAUAAAUAAACACGUGAUCCGGAUCUACAUCUGAAACAGGUAAAGUAUAGUGCUGUUGAUCCACGCUAGCAUGGAAUUGAUCUCUUGUGAUGUCAUUUAAUUAAUUUCAUGUAUAGGAAAAUAUGAGCUAACCAGUCAAGCUUUGCCACAUUCCUCACCUUUCUUAGCUGCUUGCUUGUAUAUUUGAUUAGAUAGACAGCAUUAAGAAGAGCUAGCUAAAACUAAGAGGGAUCCGAUGAAGAGCCUUUCCUUUUCAGCUCUAACAUUGUCGUCGUUGUUGUUGACGAUGAUGCUGCUCAACACAAAAAGUUGCGGUGCUAGUAUUUCACUGCCGGAAAUGGAGGGUGACGUCCCCUUGUACUCCAUAGCUGAUUCCAACUUAGAUUUGGAGUUCAUGAUGGAUUCUGAAAUUAACAGGAUUCUUAUUACGAUGCUGUCAACAAAAAUUUUCACAUUUUGAUCAACAAAAAUUAACAGGACUCUUCUGUUUAUCUACAUUCAUCAUAAAAAAUAAAAAUAUCUAACCCGUACGUAGCGACGUAUAUUAAUAGCUGAUCUAGAACACUGUUUAGAACCUUUCGUUUUAGAGCACACUAGUUAAAUGACCCGCGCGAUGCCGCGGGUCAAUUAUUUUUUACAUUUAAAAAAAAAACUAAGAUUUAAAAUUGUUAGGUUUUUUUAUAAAGUUAUACUCAAGAGUUUUAUGUUUAGUUGCAACACCUAACCCAAUAGUAACAUCUAUGAUAUUAAUAAUAAUAUUAAAUUUGCAUGACCCAAAUUUAAGUGGAUUUGGCUGCAAUAUCAGACCCAAUAGUAUUGGAUGUGGGUCUGGUUGCAAGGUCGUAUGAUAAAAGUGUAAUAAUUAAAUUGAUUAAUUAAAAAUAAAAAAACAAAGAAAAAAAACCAAUAGGAAAAAAAAACUAAUGAAGAAAAAGAAAAAAAAUAUGAAUUAACUGGGUUAAACCGUCAAACCUUAGAUUCGCGUCGUAAAAGUUUGAUAACUAAACAGAAAAAAAAAAUUAAUGGGUUAACCCAGAAUUAAUUGGGCUAACUCGUCAAACCAGGUUAACCCGUCAAACCCGGAAUCCGUGUCAUGAAAGUUUGAUAACUAAAUAGUAAAAAAUUUAACAUUAACAGUUUAUUAAACAAAAAAAAUUAAUUAAAAUAAAAAAAUAAAAGACAUCAGCCUUUUCAUUGUGGACUGCACUAUGUAGUCCAUAGUUAAAGACAUAAAAAAAAAAAAAAACUAAAGGCAUCAGCCGAGAACUACAUAGAAAAAAAUUUGAUAUAAAUUAAAUAAAAUUAAUUAAAAAUAAAAAAAACCUCUAUGAAGUAAAAAAAAAAUAGAAAGAAAUUUAACAUUAACAAACUAAACGAAACGAAAAAAAAUAAUUAAAAAAAAAGCAAAAAAAAAAUUCAAGUUAACUCGUCAAACCAGGUUAACCCAUUAAACCCGGGAUCUUUGUCAUGAAUGUCUGAUAACUAAAUAAAAAAAGUGAACGUUAACAAAUUGAACUAAAUGAAAAAAAAUAAUUAAAUAGAAAAAAUCUGAGUUAACUCGUCAAAUCAUGUUAACUCGUUAAACUCAGGAUCUGUGUCAUGAAAGUAUGAUAACUAAAUAAAAAAAAUUAAUAUUAACACACUAAAUUAACUAAAAAAAAUUAUGAAAAUAAAAAAAUAAAAAAAUUGACAGGUCAACCUAGAAUUAACUGGGUUCAUUCGUGAAACCAGGUUAACCCGUUAAACUCAAAAUAUGUGUCAUGAACGCCAGAUAACUAAAUAGAAAUAAAUUUAAUAUUAACAAACUAAACUAAACAAAAUAAAGUAAUUAAAAGGAUAAAAAAAAGUAAAAAAAAUCUGAAUUAACUUGUCAAAACAGAUUAACCCGUUAAAUUCGAAAACGUUUAAUGAAAGUUUAAUAACUAAAUAAAAUAAAUUAAAUAUUAAUAAAGUAAAUUAAUCAAAAAAAAUUUAAAAAGAUAAAAAAAAAAAGCAAAAAAAAAUAAUCCCAAAAUGCAUAAAAAAAUAACACAACUUAAAAAAAAAAAAAAAAAAACUUGUUUUCUUCUACGAAACCCUCACCGCCUAUCCCUAUACUACGUUAACCUAACUGGAGUUAGCGUGGGCCGGAUCAAAGUACCAAUUCCCUCUGAACAACUUGUUUUUGACCCAAAUACCAGAGCAGGGACCAUAAUCGACUCCGGUACAGUCAUAACCCGAUUUGUCCAACCCGUUUACUUUGCCACAGUAAACGUAAGGCCUAGGGAUCAGUGUUUUACUGUGGACUGCACUGUGCAGUCCACAGUAAAACACUGAUCCCUUUUAGUAUAUGUUACAAUUACAAUUACAGUGCCUUUCGUUUUGUCAAGAGAAAUUAAUUGUAUAGUGCUGUUGAUCCACUCAAUUAGAGCAUGAAAGGGAUCUCUCGUGAUGUCAUUUUUUAUGUAUGAGCUAACCAAUCCAGCGUUGCCACAUUCCUCGAUCAUCUUAUCACCUUCAACACCGCCGAUCACUGCCACCCUAUCCCAUAUAUACAGAGUUAGCUGCUCGCUUUUAUCAUAGAUUAGCAUUGAAAGAGCUAGCGAAACAUAAGAGAGAUACUAUGAAGAGUCUUUCCUUGUCCGCUCUAACAUUGUCGUUGUUGUUGACGAUGAUACUGCUCAACACAAAAAGUUGCGGUGCUAGUAUUUCACUGCCGGAAAUGGAGGGUGACGUCCCCUCCUACUCCAUAGCUGAUUCCAUCUUAGAUUUGGAGUUCAUGAUGGAUUCUGAAAUUAACAGGAUUCUUAAUGCCGACUCUCUCAGGAAAGCAUAAGAUGCUGUCCACAAGAAGGGAGCAGUGUUUGGUGACGGCCCACAUCGAUACAGCUUGUUUCGUUGCGGCCGAGGCAACCGAUAUUGCGUUCCUCAUGGUCGUUUUAAAGAGAACUGCAUGUCGGUGUACAAACGCACCUGCUAGUUUCAUUAAUCUACUAGCAGUUAUUCCAUGCCCAUGCGUGAUGGAGGGAGGUCUCUCUCUAAUAUGUACUCUUUUUUUUAGGGAGUUUGUUAAAUUCCCUUACUACUACUGUUAUUAUUAUCUGUUGGAUCGAGUGGGUCUUGUAUUGAACCAUUUAACUCUCAUGCUAGAAUAAAUUCGCGUUAAACUUUAAAUUACGUUAAUUGUGGUCGAGAAUUCAAUCUCGUACCCCUUGUUAUAUAUAUAUAUAUAUAUAUAUGGAUAAGGUUUUGGUUUUGAAUUUCUUUAAUUUUGUCUUUAACUAACCCUUAAACUUUGAUUUGCUUGCAAUUUCACCCCUGAUUUCAUCCGAUUAAUCUUGUAAAAAUUAAGUCUGGUCUUUCAAAAUUUCAAUCUUUUCAAUUAAGCUUUCAAACUUAGUUUUUCAUUAAUUAAGUCCUCGGUAAAAUUAAGUUGACCUAUUAAAAGUUUAAUUAAGUCCUUGCACUUAAUUAAUUCUUUUAAUUUUGAUCUAACUUAAUUUAUAAACUUAAUUCAACAUUUAAUUAGACCUAUGAUUAAAUCAAAUUAACUUAAUAAAAAUCUAAUUAGGUUCUUAGACCUAAUUUUUAUGUAAAUGUUUCCAAUAUUCAUUUAAGUUAGCCUUGAAUUUGCAUUACUUUUCAUAUUUAGAUCUUUAAAGGGUGCAAUUGAGUUUCUAAAAAGUUUCAAAGAUCCAGUUUGGUCCCUCCAUCUCUUAUGUAUACAUGUAGAUCCCUCUUUUUUAUAUUUGUAUAAAAUAAAAGAUAAUUUUGUUUUUAUGCCAGAUUCAGUUCUUAUUUUUUUAUUGUUAUUUUGUUUUGUUUUUCUAAUUUUAGAUUAUUAGAGAUUUUGCUUGGUAUUUUUUAGAGUUUCCAUUCUAUGGUUUAAUCCUAGUCUCAUGACUCAGGUCACUAGUUUUGAAGAUUAGCUCGAUUUAAUUUUGAUAUUUUUUAUGUGCUUUUCUUAAAAUUAAUUAUUUUCCAAUUUUAUCAUUUAACUUUAGGAUAUUGGGCUUUGAGUUUCAUGGUUGUUUUCAUUUUAUUUUUUUAUGGAGUUAUCUUGAUCUCUUAUCCUAGGUCAUAGGUUUGUUGGGUGAACCCAGGUUCAUUCGAGUUUUUUUUCUUAUUUAUUUAUUUUUAUGUUAUCCUUUGACAUUAAGUUAUUGAGUCUUGAGCUUCGUUAUAUUUUCCACUUUCCUUUAUGUGGGUUUCUCUCUAUCUCAUAUCACAGGUCUUAGUCUUUUUAUGAUUUUUUUUAUUCUUUUUUAUUUCAUCAUUUGAAAUUAUAUUAUUGGACCUUGAGAUUUAUGAUUUUUUUUUCAUUUUUCUUUCUAUAGGGUUAUCCUAGGUCGCAGGUUUGUCAAGUUAACACAAGUUGACUUUGGUUUUUUUUUCAAUAUUCCUUUUAUUUUACUUUGGUUUUUAUUUUUCUAUCCCAAUCACAUUUUACGAGUUGCGAGUUAGCCAAGUGAACCUCGGCUGACUCAAUUUGUUUUUUUUAAAUGAUUUGUUAUUUCAAUUUAAUUCUUUGGCAUUAGAUUGUUGGGCUAUCAUCUUAGUGAUUUUUUCACUUUUCUUUAUAUAUGGUUGACCAGACUCACAAGUUUGUCAAGUUAACUCGGGUGGACUUAAUUGUUUUCUUGGCAUUUUAUUUAUUGAUUUAACUUUGGUCCCUUUUUAAGUUUUUUUAAAUUAUUUUUUUAUUAUGAUCUCAUGUCGAGGGUAGCGGGUAUUUGGGUGAGCCCAGGCUGACUCGUGGACGUUUCUAUUUUUGAAUUUUAUUUUUUGAGUUUCAUCUUUUGACAUUAGAUUACGAGGCCUUGAGUUUUAUUUUUUUUUUCGUUUCUUUUCUAUAGCAUUAUCCUAAACUUUUAUCAUGGAUCAUGGGUUAGUCAAGUUAACCAAACUUGACUUCGAUUAUCAUUGCCUGAUUUUUUUUUUUUUCAUAUGUGAUGUAACGUAGGUCACCGUACUAGUAAAAUAAAAGAAAGAAAUGAGUACCAAAUUCUUUUAUUUGUCAUGCAUAUAUAUAUAUAUAUUGGAGAACAUAUUGAUGAUUGACACGACCAAAAGAUUGAUGUCUUCUUCCAAGUGCAGGAGUAUCGAAGUAAUAAAUAACCCGACAAGACUGGGAUCGAACCACAAGGAGGUUAACAAUAUAAAUUAUAAAUAACAACAACAACAAUAACAAUAAUAAUAAGAUAAAGAGAGCUUUGGAAUGUGAUAUUGAUGUAAGGAUUAAACAAGCAUAAAAUAAUUGUCAAGGUUAGAGGAUCCACUAAUGGUACUUCAAACAAGUAUAAUAUAAAUUCUUUUUAUUACUCAACUGGAAACCACACACAAAGGAGGCUCCAAUCGGAUUGUAAAUUGUUAACAUGAUUACAUUAGUUAUCUUAUUCGAAUAAUGCUAAUACUUGUAAAUCUUGUCAAGCAUUCAUGAUUAUAACUUAUGUUAACAACAAAUCAAGUUUCUUUCAUAGCUCAAGUGCCGGUUAUACCAUACAGUAUGGGCUAUGAAAGUGCCAAGUAUUUGUUGUACCAAGUGUUAUACAACAUAAAUCUAGAUUAACCAUUUAACAAGCAAAGUAUUAAAAGUAAACAAGAUAACAAAUAUAAAACAUGUUAGUAUCCAACAUUAAGGUCCAUGUUAAGUUUAUAUUAUACUUAUUCUUACACCAUUAGUGUACCCUUUUCACCUUGACAUAAUUAACUUAGCUAAACAUAAUGAAAGAAAGAAACAUAAAUAAACAAGAUAAGAACAUAAAUGAGAAGAACAUAAAUGAGAAAGGAGUUAACUAAACAAAGGAAAGGAAAUGAAGUGCAUAAACUUCAUAUUAAUGAAAGCAAAACAUAAGCAAUACAAAGAGAGAAAGCAAGAGCAUGAUCUUGAUCUGGAAAACCAAGAUGCCUAAAUGCAUGGCAAAUGCCUCCUUUUAUAGGCCAAAAUUUGGAACUAUUGAUUUGAUGAAUAAUUGUUGAGUGGGUGGCCACAUCUUGACUUGGUGAAAAUCCUUAUCUUCUUGUCUGAAUAAAACGUCAUUGCUAACAUCAGAACUGGAACCAUAUGAAAUCAUGAAAGUUCCAGGAAAUUCUCUUAGCUUUCCAAGAAAAAAAAGAUGAGGUCAUUUGGACUUCUAGAACUCAAGAUAUAGCCUGAACACUGAACAGUGUCUGGGCUGCAGGACAGCUUCGGACUUCUCCGUUGUUGCUAUAAUUUGGACUUAAAAACGGCAUUCUUAGAUCUUGAUGUUCACAUGAAAGUUGUAGACCUAUGUCUCACCAAAUCUGUGUAAAAAUUUGAAAUCAUUUGGACAUCUAGAACUCGAGAUAUGAACCAAAUACCGAAUAGUAUUCCAGUUUGGACUGCACCAACAUCUCUUUUCUAAGCUUCACCCUUCUUUAUCUUCAAAUUUUAGUAGUUGAAUUCAUCAAUCAAUCCUUUGAUUUAUGUGAUAAGCCUGCAUUUAAGAUGAACAUUUACCAUAUAUUAAGGCAUUUUAUAGUAUCACACUUGUUAUUAUAAAACAUACUUUAGUUAAGGAGUUAUUGAUACUUCAAGUGCAAAAUGAUGAUAUAAAACCUUAAUAAACAUGCACUUUUAAGUACUAAUCAAUGAUUAAUAAAAGUAUAAAAUUAGAUUAAUUUAAGUAUUAUUAUUUUAGUUAUAUAAAUAUUACAUAAAUUUUGAUGUCAUUCAUCCACUCCAAAAAAAAAAAACCUAAAAUCUUGGAAGAGAUUAGAAAGGGAGAUAUACAGAGGAGAGGAGAUUAAUCAAAUACUUUGAAAGUGAUCCAAACGAUUGAUGUAAUCGAAUUUGUUGUAAUUAAUAAAGGUUAUGAGCAUUCAGAUCAAUAUAAUAUAUAAUUAAAUUAAAAUUUUAUAUAACUAGAUAGAGAUUUGAACUAAAUACACAAUAUCGAAGGCCUUACAUAUGCUUUUAUGAACCAGUAAGACACGUCUAGAUUUAAGAGGUUUUAUCGCGUUAAAUUGGAUUAACACAUUAAAACUGCAUCUCUUAUCAUAUUGUUGAAUCUUUUAGGAUUAGGAAUCAAGCCUGGAUGUUGUUGUUUGGGUCAAUUUUGUUAUUUUUAAUUUAUUAUUUAAUUUGAUUUUUUAUUUUAAUUUCCUUUGUGCUUUUGGAUUUCUAGUUUUUUUUAAUCUAUGUAUAAGUCUUGUAAACAUCUAAAAAAACAGACUUUAUUGGUUUUAUUUUCAUAUAAAUAAAUUAUAAAUUUAUGCUUCAUAUCUUGAUUCUUUUUCCAAGAUUAAAUUUAUUCUUAUAGUUCUUGCCUGCGUCAACCAUGCUUCGAGUUGGCUAAUUAUUAUUAUUUAUUUCAUAUUAAGUAUAAACAGGUAGUGAAAGGGAAAUUAAGAAUUAUGCAGAAUUGAACAAAAAAAUUAACAUAAGUCAAUUUUUAAAAUAGGAUGCCCACUCCGGCGUGAAAAAUGGAAUAUUAAAGGCAUAUACAUGUUGAUGUUGUUGGCAAAGUUCCAAGCCUUUGGCAAAGUUCAUGGUAUUGUACUUUAUUAUCAAACAAGUAGAUAGAUGAGGAUGAUUUUCGUUAAAAACUCAUUCUAUAAAACUGGGAAAAACAAUUACGAUGCUUAUUUCUUGCAUUGUAACAAAUAUUAUUUUAAAGGAUCCAUAUUUCAAUGUUAUGAUUUUUUACUACUGAAUGAAAAUAUUGAUCUAUUAAUACUAAAUAAACAUAAAGUGAAAACGUUAUUUAUUUUCAAUCAUCAUAAUUAAUAUUCUUUAUCCAACCAGAACCAAAUAUUAAAAAAGAGAAAAAUCAUUGUGAGGGAUAGUAACAAAAGUCAACAUGCAACCAUAAUUUCAAGAUAUUACAAAAUAAUAAUAAAAAAAAAGCUUGGUUUUUCACUAUGCAUACACUCAUAUUUCAUCAUUGUAAAACUAUUAUUUUUCUCUUAAGAGAAAAACUCAUUCUCUAGGUAUAUUAGAUUUAUUAGUUAUUAUCAUUUUGAAUGGGUGUAAGCAAGUUUUUUUACAUGUCAAAUGAAUAGUGUAAUAGCUUACAUACCCUUAAAAGUAUAUAAAAAAAAAAUCAGGAGAAGGAAUUUCUAGUCUUUUUGCACUUUGAAUGCAUAGUGAAAGAACCAUUUUGUCUUUGUAAGAGAACUCAUGUUUAGGGGCACUUAAGGCCUUUUCAACAUGGUUAUUUUAUAUAUAUAUAUAUAUAUAUAUAUAUAUAUCUUUUUGGAUGGGAGGAAAUUAAGUUUUGAGCAUAUAUAAAAUUAAUUUUAAAAAAGGUGAUUGGUGUAUGUCAUGCACGUUCCAGCAAUUAAGAGACAUUCACGUUUUUUAAACGACGCGUGUAGCACUUCCAAUAAUCAAAUGUUGUUGUCCGUUACAGUAACUGAAGCAGAGCAUCAUUCUUUUUGCAAUGGUAGGGCACAUGUUCAUGAUGGAAAUGAGGGCUCCAAUGAAUUUUAUUUUUUAUCCUCUCUCUUUUCUUUUUCCUAACCUCAAAGGUCAAAGGCAACAAAUUGAUUCGCAGAACUGGAAGGCCAGAAGUUUAAGCCCCAUGGAGGGACCAUCAAGGGCAGCUAAAUCUUCCUUGGAAUGUGGCUUUUCUUUUACUUGCAGUCGACAAACAAGUGAAUUUAUGUCUGUCACAAUGAAAAUAAAUGCAUUGCUGAUUGAAACCAGAGAGAACGAAACUUUCCCAAUUAUUCUCAAAAAAGUUGAAUUUACCCAAAUCAGUACAAACAAAAAUAUUUUGUUUCAUACAUAUGACCAAAUACUAAAAUGUUUUCCAUGCAUAUUUUCAUUAAAAUUUUUGGUUUUUUCUCAUGUUUUAAAAUGUAAAUUGGAUAUUGUAACCAGUUUAUGAUUAUCUAUUAGGAUUUAGCCAACAUGUCAAAAUUAGCCUCCUUACAAAUCAUUUUUUUUAGGGAUUUUGAUGUAGAAUUUAGUAUCUGAAAGUGUAAAACUGUACAGUAAAGUACACUCUCAAGAACUAAAGAUACAAGGUGUAAAAUAAAUGCGAUAUUAAAAUUUUAAAUUUUAAAAUGAUUAGAAUUUAAGCUCAUAAAAUAAAGAUACAAGGUGUGGAGACUAAAUUACACAUUUUUAGUAUCCUAUGUUCAUAGUGAUAAGAGUGGUGAUGUUGCGGCUGAGUGGCCAACUAACAUGAAAAAUUGGUUCCAGUUAAUGCUGAAUAUGCAGAGUACUGCAAUAAAAUCAUUCUAUCAGACACACUAAUUAUCACUACCAAAAUUAUUCAAACAAGGAACGCAUAUAUAUGCAUCGAUAGGUAUUUCAGCUAGAAACCUUUGUCUUGAGGCCUAUACUAACGCAGCAUGCUAACUAGCUUGCUUCUCAUCGCCCCUUUGGGUUCAUGAUCUCGGAGAACACAGCACCAGACAUCAUUUUCUCCGACUCGUUGCUUAGAAAACUUUGUCCGUCGCUGCUGCUUGUUGUUGCCAUUUCCAAAAUGCGGGAAUUCACAACUAGUUCACUGCCAGUACUAAACAAAUCACUGCUGUCAUCGAUUGAGGAGCCUUUCAGAGGAGUCUCCAUGUCAACUUCUUUCUCAGUUUGAGCCACUUUGACAUUCUCUUCCGCGCUCUCUUGCAGUUGUAAUGCAAACUCAAGGCCCCAAACCACAUCCGUCAUCGAUGGCCUUUCGAUUCCAUUCUCGAGCAAGCAUCUCACUGCAACAUCAACAAAGUUUUUCAGACAAUCUGGUGAGAUCUUUCCAUCCAGAUACGGAUCAAUGAUUUCAUUAAUCGUUCCGUUGCUGUGGCUUUGUCUAGCCAACUCUGCUAGACUUGCUGGCACUGCUGAUCGGUUUAUUGCUGGUCUAGCACACAAUACCUCGAACAACACAACCCCAAAUGAGUAGACAUCAGAUUUUUCUGUCAAUUGUUGGCGUUGACAAUAUUCGGGAUCCAAGUACCCUAUGCUACCUUUCACAAUGGUGCUCACGUGGCCCUUCGAUGUGCUCGUAGGGCCUGUUUUGGACAAUCCGAAAUCCGAAACUUUGGCCACCCAUUUCUCAUCCAGCAAGAUAUUUGUUGUCUUCACAUCACGAUGAAUGACAGUGUGCUUGGCACCUGUGUGAAGGUAAUCCAACCCACGGGCAGCACCGAUGCAAAUCUCUAGGCGUUGACUCCAUGAAAGUGGAGGAUUAUCAGUUCUGUAGAGAUGAUCACGAAGCGUCCCCCGAGCCAUAUAAUCAUACACCAGGAUCAUCUCAUUAUUCUCAUUACAGUAACCAAUUAGAGAAACCAAAUGGCGGAAUCUAAGCUGGGAGAGCAUCUCAAUCUCUGUCCUGAACUCGGUUGCACCCUGCCGGGAACUUGGAUUCAAUCGCUUGAUCGCAGCACGAUUGACUCCACCAUCAAAUAAUCCUUUGUACACGUUACCGAAGCCACCAACACCAAUAAUGAAUGAAUCGUCGAAGUUGUUUGUAGCUGCUAUGAUCUCAACUAGCGAGAAACGGUAGCAUAGAUCAGAAGGUAGAGAAGGCCUAUGGGUCUUUGUUGACUUUCUUGAAGAGGAAACAAGAGGGCUUAAGUUUGAAGCUGCAUCACCAGAUACCAGGUCCUUGAAUUUUUGGACUCUUCUCCGGAAAAUCAAGAGAAAUAGAACUGAGAAGACAACAAUGCCCGAAACAGCAGCACCAAUAAUGGCGACUGUUCUUCUUCGACUUUGCUUUGGCUUUGUUGAGGUCGCGCUAGGAGUAUUACUAACGGGGCUGUCCGGAUACGCGUCAGGAUUUGGUCCGGCAAGAUUGUCUGAUUUGCUCAAUUUGAAGAUUUCAGCUCCAUUCAACAUUGCAUCAAAGGCAUUAGUAGACUGAAUAGGGUGCAAUGCAAUUGAUAAAUUCUGUAUCCCUUCGUUUCCUCCGGCAUUCAUCAUCACUACGUAAUCUUUGUAUAUGGGAACCCCAUAUCCAGCAGCCCAAGAGAUUAUAUCUGCGUAACGCUCUGCCGUUUGAUUAGCGAUAUAUAUUUUAAAGACUAGAUCGCCCUUUUGCAAUAUAAUCGGUAUAAACUGACAGAAAUGAAGCCUAACAAGAUAGGUGAAUGUGGAGUGGACCGGAAACUCCCAAGUCAUAUUGUAUUUCUUAUUUAUAGUAGAAUCGGGCCCCAUGGUCCUAGCAGUUCGAUAGAGUACGUCAGGUGCAGCAUAGCGAGUGUGGUUAUUAUACUGAAGUUGAAUAGUGCCAUUAAAUUGAAAAGCGCUUGGUCGAGCAUCCGUCAAGUAAUCGACAUCGCUUAACCAACUUCGAAACAUGCCAUUGUCGUUGGGCGGUG